CUCACCACCUCCUCCUUACCAUUACAGUUCCCCACCACCACCUCCAAAGAAGCCAUACAAAUACGCUUCUCCUCCACCUCCAGUUUACAAGUACAAAUCACCUCCUCCACCAGUGUAUAAGUAUAAGUCUCCUCCUCCACCACCGAAGAAGCCAUAUAAAUAUCCAUCUCCACCACCACCAGUUUACAAGUACAAGUCACCUCCUCCACCAGUUUACAAGUAUAAAUCUCCUCCACCACCAGUUUACAAGUACAAAUCACCUCCUCCACCGGUGUACAAGUAUAAAUCCCCUCCUCCACCAGUGUACAAGUACAAGUCUCCUCCACCACCACCUAAGAAGCCAUAUAAAUACCCAUCUCCACCACCGCCAGUUUACAAGUACAAAUCACCUCCACCACCGGUGUACAAGUACAAAUCUCCUCCACCACCAGUUUACAAGUAUAAAUCCCCUCCUCCACCAGUGUACAAGUACAAGUCUCCUCCACCACCACCAAAAAAGCCAUAUAAAUACCCAUCUCCCCCACCACCAGUUUACAAGUACAAAUCACCUCCUCCUCCAGUUUACAAGUAUAAAUCUCCUCCACCACCAGUUUACAAGUAUAAGUCACCUCCUCCCCCAGUUUACAAGUACAAAUCUCCACCACCACCACCCAAGAAACCAUACAAGUAUCCAUCACCACCACCACCAGUUUACAAGUAUAAGUCUCCCCCUCCACCUGUCUACUCACCACCACCAGUUUACAAGUAUAAGUCUCCUCCUCCACCUGUCUAUUCACCACCUCCACCAUAUAAGUACAAAUCUCCACCACCUCCUCCUUAUAAGUACCCAUCACCACCACCACCAGUUUACAAGUACAAGUCACCUCCUCCCCCAGUUUACAAGUACAAAUCUCCACCACCACCACCCAAGAAACCAUACAAGUAUCCAUCACCACCACCACCAGUUUACAAAUAUAAGUCCCCUCCUCCACCUGUAUACUCACCACCUCCACCAGUUUACAAGUAUAAGUCUCCUCCUCCACCCGUCAAUUCACCACCUCCACCAUAUAAGUACAAAUCUCCACCACCUCCUCCUUAUAAGUACCCAUCACCACCACCGCCAGUUUACAAGUACAAAUCACCUCCUCCUCCAGUUUACAAGUACAAAUCUCCACCACCACCACCCAAGAAACCAUACAAGUACCCAUCACCACCACCACCCGUUUACAAAUAUAAGUCCCCUCCUCCACCAGUUUACAAGUAUAAAUCUCCUCCUCCACCUGUUCACUCACCACCUCCACCACACUAUGUCUACUCUUCACCUCCUCCUCCGGUCUAUUCCCCUCCUCCACCACAUUACAUAUAUUCAUCACCUCCUCCUCCUUACCACUCUUAGAUAACGGUUUACCAUAGUAUCCCAUGGUAUGCUUCUUUUUUAGUACGACCAAUAUCUUUAUGAUUAAAAUGCUUCGAGAAAUACUAAUUUAUAUAUCAACAAAAUAUAUGUAUUUUAUCAACGAAACAAUUAAAUAAGAGAAUCAAAAUUAGUGAUUUGAAUAGUUUUACAUGCCAACACAUGCAAGUCGUUAUAUAGACCUCACAUUCAUUUUAUUCUUAUUAUUCUUAUAGUCUAAAUAGUACAAUUUUCUUGAAACGUCUAAAUUGACAUACAUCUUAUGGUACAGUUUACAAAAAUCAAUCUAAGCCUAUUUUAUUUCUAUUUAUAGUAUUAUAUGUAAAUAGAAAAAAUAUACAAACUAAAAGGAAAGUUGACAGUUAUGUUUCUUAUUAAUGCUUCUCACUCGUAUUGUUCUUUGAGUGCUUAAUUAAUGUGUUUAUGUGUUUGUAUAUACUUUUGUAGGGAUUAAGGAAUAUUGGAAAUAAAGAGAACAUAGUGCAAAGCAGGAAGAUGCAUUUAGCAAUAAGGGAGAAAAACAACGGAAGCAAAGUUUCCAUGCAUUUUGGUCUCAGAAAAAGUCACUUUGUUUUUCUUAUUUGUUUGUAUAUGAAUUAUUAUUCUCAUUAUUGAGUUUGGUUAUUGAAUUUAGACAGGUGUAAUACACUGUGUGUAAUAUCGUGAAUGCAUUUUGUUUUGGAACCUACUCUUUGCAAGGGGUUGGUUGGGAAAAUAAAAUUGAAUAUUUGUUCUACUAAUUCUUUGCAUAUUUAUUGUGAAAUUACAAUAUAAUCAAUGCUCAACUAAUUAUUUUUUUCAACAGAAAACUAAUGCAUUUCAUUAAAAAUUAAAGGACCAAUAUAAAGGAGAAUGUCAAAUUAUAAAGCUAAGAAUUUCUGAAAAAAAAAAUAAAGUUGAGAACUGACGCUGUAUAUGUUUAGCUUAGCAAAGGUGCAUUGUGCAUCCAUAUUAGUCUCUCUCCUACAAAACUCGACAUAAGAAUUAUUACAUAAUAACGAUAAAGUACUACAAUAUCUACUUAAAAUAGAAUCUACAUAUCAAUAGCUGUUAAUAAGUUUAAAGUCUCACCCUCACUCAAUAACUUAUUUAAGCAUUGAAUGUUCAAUCCAAUUGCUAUUAAUUUCGACAAGCCGGUCCUAAUUUACUCUCUCUCGGUUUUCUCUUCCAGUUUCUUCAUUGAGGAGUUAUUUUGGGUCAAUUAUUGACCUGAAAUCACUCCUCUUCAUCUUUUUAUGCCUAUUUCAAUCUAAAUAAGUGAUUUUCACAUAGAUUUAGGUUUUUUCUUUGUGGUUUUAUCAUCUAAGUGUGGUGGUUUGUUGUUCGUCGUCUUGUGCGGCGUUGUUCGAUUUCACGUUUCUUGCGGUGUUCAUUUAAUUCAUAUUGAAAGAUUGAUUAUUCAAUCGAAGAUUUGGGCGUCAACGUUGCAGAUCCGGAUGCUAUGGAUAUUCCGGUCACUUUAAUUUUAUCAUAUAUUUUUUGUUGUGAAAACCACACCAAUAAUAAACUUGAUGCGUGGAGCAAAUUAAUACCAAGUAAUCAAAUCAAGCGGGUAGCAAAUAAUUCAAACAAAAGUAAACGACAAGAGAUAAAAGGAAAGAAGGAGAACACAAGAAUUUGUUUACCCAGUUCGGUCUAAUGAUGACCUAGUCUAGGGGAGAUAGCAGCUCUCUGCUUCACUAUAAUGAUAUGAGUUUCUUUACAAAGAGAUAUUGAAUUACAAGAAUCAGUCUUCAAACCUAAUUCUACCCAAGUCCCAGCCUCUUCCCGUGACCAAGAGACUCAAUCCUAAUGGUGCUUUGUUCAACGUGAAUCAAAACAAUCCCAACCCUAGUGUUUGUUGCCAAGAGAAAUUCUCUAUAAACCCUAUUUUCUACACAGUGUUUUGUUUCUACACACUCUCAGUCUCUCAAAUAUUCAUAUGAUACAAAGCUUAUAUUUAUAGUGGAAAGCAUUCCUCAAAAAUUGGAAACAGGCCCACAAGCUGUUUUAUUUUUCUCAUCUUGCGAGAAAUCGGCCAUCAAGUUUGGAAAAUCGGCCACCGAUUUUUCACGAGACAAAAGUCUCCAAAACCAGGUCAAAAUCGACCACCGUGUGGUGUAACACCCCAUUCCCAAAUAUAAUUUAUUUAAAUGAAAUAAACACACAUCAGAGUAAUAAAUCCAAAUGGGCAUGUCACACUACAUUUUCAAAUUUCUGAAAUAGAAUAUAAAAAAUCUAUUUAUUAAACAUCCAAUGAAAUCAUCAUUUAAUAUGCAGCGGAAUAUUAUCAACGAAACGUCAACAACUGUUUAAACCUCCAAAAUAAUAUCUCAGCAUAAAAAGCCUCAACCAGAAUAAUUCAUCAACCAUAGGGCUACAACAACAUUAACCAAAAUUUGAUACAUAGAAUGAAAGAAAACAAUAAAAUCCCAUCCCACGUAUCAGAGCCCUAGACACUUUGAGCCACCACCUACUACUCAGGAUCACCUGCAAGUUACCCAUAGGAAGGGCAACAUUUCCAAGCAGAAGGGGUGAGAUUCUCAAUCAAUAAAAAUAAAAUAUAAUAACAUCAAUUGAAAAUCUAGCACCUUACAACAUCAAUGAUUAUUCAAUAAGCAUAGGUAUUUCAUAAUCGACAACAAUCAUUCAAAUAUAGAAUUCAAUCAACAAUGCAACUCAUGAUAUGACAUGACACCCCCCUUUAAUACUCCUCAAUAAAUGCAACUAUGCAUGUGGUACCAUAAUUCAGGGCCAUGACCCACACCACUGUCGAAUGGUUAAAGCAUUCUCAGCAGGACCUAAGUCCUCACCGCUCCACACCGCUUUGAACAACUAGUGUUCCACCGCUUUGAACGACAAGGCGUUCCAGAGCCGAAGCUCUCCCACUUUGAUGUUUAUGCAACUACCCCACCUGUGUAUAUCUACAUACAACUCGACCACUACAUAUGUAUCAUAUGACUUACUACUCCACAACUCAAACAAUCCAGACUUACACAAUUAUUUAUAAUUAUGCACAUACAUCAAUCAUCUCCGACAUUCACUAACACCAAUCAAUCCAAUCACUGGCUAGUUUAAAUAGGAUUUGGUCACCUACACCAGGGUUAUAUUAGUUAAAGAGGAAGUUAAAGAACGCUCAAGAAGUCCCCUCAUGCACUAAGCAACAGUUCAGAAAAGGCUGAUUAAGGUUCACUUCGCUUAAGCGACGGCUAGUUCGCUUAAGCGACCAGCUUACAGUAGGUUCUGGGUUCAGUUCGCUUACGGGUCGCUCACGGUUCGCUUGAGCGAACUUUGGACAGAAUGAAAAUGGUUUUUCGCUCACAGGGUCGCUUACCAUUCGCUUAAGCGAAAUCUUGGCAGAACCAAACUUAAUUUUCGCUUACCAGUUCGCUCACGGUUCGCUUAAGCGAACGGGUAAAAUCGCAUUCUGGGCAGCUUGCUUGAAUGCUCGCUUAAGCGACGGAUGCUUCGCUUAAGCGACCACUCAUCUGGGCAGUGCAAAACCUACGGUUUCAGACCUCUUCUCACUCCAAAAACCCCAUUUUAAUCCCCUGAUCACCCAAAAUGUUUUCCAACAGAUGUUUACAGGUCCUAUAUACAACUAGGCAUUACAAAGAAACACAAUUCAGCCAUCAACAACAACAAUUAUAGAAUCAUUCCACCAUCACACAAUAUUUCAUCAAUUCAUACAAUUCAUCCAAAAUUCAAUCAAUUCAUGGAUUACAGCAACAACAUGGAUUAAGAUUUCGUUCUUAACAUUAAAUUCCAAGAAACUAACAUCAUCUUUACUCAUUCCAUCAGAAUCAUCAUCAAACCCUAACUUUCAUCUUAUUUUCCAAAACUAUUCAAUUAGGUCAAUUUCAGAAAUUAUAGAUUAUGAUUAUUGAGAGAUAGUCUCACCCUUACCUUAGUUUUGCAGAAAAUUAGACAGCAAGGAUCGAUUUCUAGGCUCUCCUCUCUAGCUCUUGCUCUUCUUCUCCCUUUUCCCAAAACUUGUCUGUUGUACGUGAAACUGUUUUCUGACUAUUCCUUUUCCUAACUCCCCAAAACUAUAACUCCCCCUAUUACAUUAAACUCCAUUAAUUUUUAUUAAAUUCUAAUUAACUCCCUAAUUUCUAAAAUAAUAUUAAUUUCCAGUUAUUUUAAUUAUUAUUAUAUUAAACUAUAUAAUAAAAUGCACACACCACAUAAAUCACCAAAAAUCAUAUAAAAUCACAUUUGAGACUCCACAUAAUUCAAAAUAAAAUAAAAUAAUACUAGGGCGUUACAUGUGGUACAAAUUGGACACCGAAUUUGACAGACAGGAUGCACAUUUUUGAGUCACUUUUCAACAUUUUUGUAGGCAUUAUGUCGUUAUAUGCUAUUAAUUAACUUUGAUGUUGUGAGUUUAUUAGCAGAUUCAUCCUUUAAGUUUUUAGCGGUGUUGAAUGAUGUAAUCUCGAUUUGAAUGAAUGAAUAUCAUUUUAUUUUUGUAAAAAAAAAAAAAAAAAAAACUAUAUACAUCAUUACUGUAAUUUUUUUUACAACAUGUAUCAAUCAUUUUGUUACAUUUUGUAUUAGUUACUAAAGUAUAUCUACAAAUAGUCUAUGUCGUUAAUUGUGAUCGAAUGCACACAGAUUUUUACAUUAAAAUUUUGCAAACCAUCAAAGUUAAAAAAACAUGCAUAGAACAAACCUUGGGAUAUGUAUUCGAGAUGACGAAAACACUUUUUGUGUUGGAUAAAACUUUGUCCAUCACUGCAAUGUAUAAGCAUACGGGAGAAGUUUUGGGUUUUUUCCAAUCGUUACACUAAUUAAGUGAUAUGUAAUUUGACAAUGUUGACUUUACAUUGUACUCAAAGAUUAUUACAAAUGGUUUCCAUCAUCAUCGUGUUCAUGUUACAUAAUUUGGUCAAGUGAUUUCAGCUUACAGGGGCCUCUUUAAUACUUAUUUCACAAACUCUUAGGACGAGUUUAACAGACGACAAACCAAUGAGGUAGUUCACAUCCUUGUUGGGUUGUCAAAUUAUCAACUAAUCUCACUAUUUAUUCGCAUGUAAUUCGUUGUAUAAGCACUCUUAUUAUUAAUUAAACUAGCGAGUUAACCCGUGCAAUGUAUGAGCGACAUAUGCUACUAUUUUUUAAUCUCCAAAAUUAUAUUCUUUUUUUUGUUUUUUUAUAUAUCACUAGCGAAAAGACAAGCACUCUCGUGCCCGUCUUUCCGCUCUUUUUAUUGCGUUAAUGUUUGAAAAUUAUGAACAAUAUUUUUUUAUGAAAUUUUGAUUUUGAUUAAAACUAUAUAUAUAUAUAUAUAUAUAUAUGUUUGUUGCUUUAAAAUUAUAACAAAUCAAACUAAUCAUGAUUAUCUAUUUCAUUGAAACCAACAAUAUAACAAAAAAAAUAUAAUCUAAACUCUUAUUUUUUUAAUGACACCAACAACGAUCUUUAUUAUAGAAAAAGUUAUUUGAGGGUAUAAUUGAAAUAGUAAAAAAGUAAGUAUAUAAAAAUACUCAUCUAGUUUGUUAGACAUUUUAAAAGAUAAAAGAAAAAAAUUAGACAUAUAUAUAUAUAUAUAUAUAUAUAUAUAUAUAUAUAUAUAUAUAUCGUGUUUCUUACACUUUUAUUUUAAUACAUGAAUUUGCUUUAAUCUAUUUGUUUUGUGUUAUUUGUAUUGAAAGUUAAGGGUAAUUUUGGAAAGAGAAAAAUUCAGCCUAAAAGAGUCUAAAUAUGCUAUUUUCUUUAUAUAUAGUAUAAAUUAACUAACAUUUUAUAAGUUAUAGCCGGCCCUAGUUUUCUAGUGAGAGAAACUCCAACUUCUCUCUAGACUUUCUUUCUCCUUCGUUCAUCGAGGAGGGGUGGUUUUAGGUCAUUUUUUGACCUAGAAUCACCCCUCUACAUCUUUUUUCCCCUUUUCUUUCAAUCUAAAUAAGUGGUUUUCACAUCUAUCAAGUUUUUCGUUUUGUGUUUUUUGUGAUUUCGUCGUCUAAGUGCGGCGUUUGAUUUCGCGUCUUGUCGCGGUGUUUGUUCAGUUCCUAUUGAAAGAUCUACAUCAAUCAAUUACAAAUUCAAGCAAUGAUUUGGAUGUCAACGUUGCAGAUCCGGAAGCAUGGGUAUUUCGGUGAUUUAGGUUUGAUCAUAUUAUUUGUAGGCAUUUUGCUGUUGUAUGCUAUUAACUUGGGUGCUGUGAGUUUGCUCGCAUAUUCACCCUUUACAUUUUUAGCGAUGUUUGUAUCUGAUGUACUCUAUCGAUUUGAAUGAAUGAAUAUCGUUUUGUUUUUGUAAAAUAAAAAGUGUUUUUUUUUUUUUUUUAUAUUUUUUAUUAGUGACAAAUAUUUGACCCAUACAUUUUUUAUGUAUUAAUGAUAAAUAUUUGUUCUAGUUUUCUAAAUUUAUAAUGACAAAUAUAUCUUAUGUGUUUAUCAUUGACAAAUAUUUGACACAUUUUUUUAUAUAUUUAUCAGUGGUAAAAACCUCAUAAAGAACCUAUGUUAAAUACUUGUUCCGUACUUUUUUAAUUGAUCAAUUACAAAUAUUAGUCCCAUGCUUUUUAAUAUUUUUUGUUCAAUUUUUUAAAAUAUUUAUCAAUUAAUUUAGGGUUAACAGGCCUUUACCCCCUACAAUGAUAGGCGAAUACUUGACCCUAGAGCUCUAAAAUGUGUUUUUGUUGGCUAUUCCUCCACUUAAAAAGGAUAGAAAUGUUACCAUCCUUCGUACAAACAAUUCUGUGUCUAGAGAUGUUACAUUUCAUGAAGAGGAAGCUUUUUUCAAACAACCUUAUCUUCAGGGAGAGAAUUUAAGAGAAGAUAAGGAAAUAAAUCAUGAAAUCCUUGCUCUUCCUAUCCUUGAGUUUGCUUGUAUCCUAAGGUUGACAUAACCUUAGAGAACCUUUCAAACCAUGCUCAGGGUGAUUGUUUCAAUCCAUAUAAUGCCUUUUUCAACCUGCAUAUAGAAUUGGCAGCAAGAUUUUUACAAUAUUCUGGCGGUACCUCCAUAUAGAUUUCCUCCUCUAGUUCCCCAUGCAGGAAAGCAUUUUUCACAUCAAAUUGCUGCAAUUCCCAACCAUAAAAGGAAUGGAAAUGCAAUAAUUGAAGCUUAUACUGAUGAUGACCAUGCGGGGUCAAUUACAGACAAGAGGUCCACUACUUGAUAUUGUACCUUUGUUGGAGGAAAUUUAGUAACUUGGAGGAGCAAAAAACCGAAAGUGGUGGCUUGCUCUAGUGUUGAAGCUGAGUUUUGAGUAUAACAUAAGGUAUUUGUGAACUACUUUGGCUGCAAAUUAUUUUAGAAGAUUUGAAGAUAAAAUUGGAUGGACCUAUGAAGUUCUAUUGUGAUAAUAAGUCAGCAAUCAACAUAGCUCAUAAUCCCGUUCAACAUGAUCGAACAAAACACGUUGAGGUGGAUAGGAAUUUUAUCAAAUAUUUUUAUAUUUAUUAGUGACAAAUAUUUAUUUCACGUUUUCGGAUAUAUUAGUGACAAACAUUUGUCCUAUGUUUGUUAUGUAUCAGUUAUUAAUAAAUGUCUUGUGUAUAUUUAUCAUUGAUAAGUAUGUGUCCCGUGUUUUUAUUUUAUUUUAUUUUUUAUAUUCUUCGAUCUUAAAGCAACGAUGAUAGAUCAAGACCUAGAGUGAUAAUUGGUGCCAUUUAACAAAGAGUUUGCAAGAACAUUCCCAAGAUUUUUAUUUGGAUGCAUGAAAUAUGGAUUUAAGGUAUCAUUCUGGUAACCUUUGUGAUGAUGAGAAUCGUGUCCUCCAUUGACACUUCCAGCAAUACUAUCCAUAGACAUGAUGAAUCAACGAAAGGGAUUCACAGAGAAAAGAAAGAAGAGAUAUUUUUACAUUCUUAUGACAUAACUAACUACACACUAACUAUGAUUAAGACUAGAGAUGACUAUAGUUAGGAUGUUACAACUAACUGUUAACUGCCUCAAUAACUUGCAGAGCAACUUACUUAGUGUUCACUAUGUUUUGUUGUUGACAAAAUUCUUAUUUGAUGUUUUAAAAAUUACAAACAUAUUAAAUUUAUUUCAUCUUGUUAUCUACUAACUUGUUCUGUGAUAAUUAUUUCAUGAGAAUGAUCACGACAACAUUCUGGUAUCAUAAGACAAACAAAGCAGUUACGUCAAAAGACAAAUCAGCAAAAAGGCAAAAUUUAGCUUUACAAGAAUAUUUAACUUUUGAAUUAUUAAUAUCAAGAUCAAGACAUUUAUAUGCCUUAUUAAAGGAAGACAUAUAAUGUUCUGUCGAAAAGAAAAAAAAAAGAUAUUUAAUCAUUGUUGAUUGGCAAAAUGAAGAAAGAAAUGUUUUGGGCCUUAAAGAAGAUUUUUUAUCCAUUAAGGAAAAGAAACAAGUCCAUUAAAGAAAAAUAUCUCAUAAAGGCUUUAAGCACAUGUGAAUUAAAUGUGACAUCAUCAAAAGGACAAAAGAAUGACAUAAGCAUGUCACUUCUGACAACUAUCAACAACUCAUUAUAGCCGGAUAACUCUCACGUGGAAGCAUAAAGUAAGCUGGACAUCCAUAACCUUCUGGAUGUGUAAAUUAACAUUCUAGUCGUGUUGAAGAAGAAAAGUGAAAUCAAUUGAAACUUUGGAUAUCUAUAAAAAUGUGCCCAACAACUCUAUUUUCAUAGUUUAUCACCAACACACUCCACAUCUAUAAAUACAUGAAGACAUGAAGAAUCAAAACAAGUGUUUUGAAAGCAAGCAUUCUCUCGAGUGAAAAUCAUCACUAUAUACAAACUCUUCACAAACAAACAAAUUCUAAGUUCUCUCAAUAUAUCAUUUGGAUGAUACUCAUUCAAAUUUGUUUAUUUAAAUCUCAAACAUGUGUUGAGAAUUUCAUUUGAUCCAAACCCACCUCAUCAUACAAAGUGUAUUGUGUUCUCAAGUCUAUUGCUAACAAUAUUUUGAGAAGAAUUGACAACCUUUCUUGUCCAGAAUUAAAAAAUUGUAGAAGCCUACUAAGGUUUAUUUUACAGGAUUUAACGAACUGAUCUGGUGUGAUCAAGAAUUUAUGGUGCUAGUCAUAAGUUUCUGUUAGCAUGAUACUAUAGUGGAUAAUCUUACACAAGGUGUGGGGACUGAAAGUAGCCGAGUUUGGUGAACUAUGAUAAAUCUCAGGUGUUAUUCUUCUUCCCUUUCUCUCUUUAAUACUUAAUAAUCUCUCCAAAAUAUUGUGGUCCUAAUUAAUCACAAUCAAAUUAAUCCAAUGUUUUCUGGUCCUAAAUUGUUUCAUUUAAUAUUAAUUAUACAGAUGCAUUCAGAACAUUCUGAUGCAAGAUAAAACAAUUACAUAAAUAACUAAAGACAAACUCACGUUUAAAAUCAAAUUAUAAUAUUAUUUUAUCAUUCUGUUUUAUUCUCCAGAACAUUCUGGUCCUUGUUAAAAUAGUUUUACAUUUCAGCUUAAUAUCAUUUUUCUCAUUCUUCUUAUAUAUUAAAUAUAUAAUCAUUUAAUCAAAAACAUUAUGGUCCUAGAUAAAAAAGAAUUGUUAUAUAUCAAACACUCUAAUCUAAUUAGACUAACAUUUACCAAGAACCUUCUCUACUAAACAAACUUAUUUAAGUUUCAGGAAUAAUUUUAAAAGGGUCACAAUUCACCUCCUCCUCUUGCGACGUUUCUUGCUACUUCAUGUUCAACAUAGGAUUUUAUAUCACAACCAAGCGACUUUUUCACACCCACACACCCAUUAGUUAUCUAGCUGUAAUAAAAGCAUGUAAUUGAAUGAAUUAAAUGAAAAAGGAGUUAGGGUUUCAAAUAACAACCAUAUAGAUUUAGGGGUGGCCCUGAGGGCAGGCAGGAGGGGCAGUAACCUAGGGCACCAUUUUUUAAGAGGCACCAAAAUUAUUAUUUUUACUUAGUAGUUAGUACUAUAUAGAUAUAUUUCUUUUUAAUUCGUUUUGAUUAAUUAUAUUAAAAAUAUAUUUUUAGAGAACUUUAAUUGUAAAUGAAUCUUUUGUAACAAAAACUGCAAGAAGGAAAAUAUUGAAAUAAAUAAAACAACACAAUUUUAUUGUUUCGUCCAUGACACCAAAAAUCUCAGAACCAGCCCUGAGAAAGACUAUAAUGUUGUGGGGCCGCAUCUUUUCUUUUCUUAACAUGAAUGUGAAGAAAGACGAGAGAUUAUAAAAUUUAGAUAUUUUCUACGCUGCCCUUCUCUCUCUUCAUGUUUGUCUUUUGCAAAAUAACAUCAUUGUAAAAAUUAAAUUUAGUAUCUUAUACUCCCUCCAUUCCUUUUCUUUUAAUGUUUUAGAACUUUAAAUAUAUUCCAAAACUUUUGAUGUUUUAGUGAAUUUAUUAUUGUUUUCUCAAGUUUACCCUUUUCUUCCGAAGCAUAAAGAAUAACCUUCAACCAAGACAUAAACUCAAAAAGAAAAUGUUUAAAUUAAUAAUAAUAUUGAUUUUUAUGUUUGUUUUUUAUUGAACACGUAGAAAAUUGGUUUUCAAACAAACAUAACGUUUGGGAGAGUAUGUAACACUUGAGUUCGAUUCUAGAAUUGUCUAUUUGGAAGGCAGCUCAAUCUUGUAUAAAAAUAUGUCUCACAUUCAACUUGAAAUUAAAUGUCAUAGCUUGGUUAAACUAGAGCCAUGGACAGAUAAAGAGACUAUGUGAUCAAAUGUGGCUAUUUUGAUACAAGUCAUUUUGCCUUUUAAAAAAGAAAAAAUGAAUAGAUUUAAAGCAAUUGGUUAACAAAUCCAAGUCACACCUCAUCAAGGAAGGAAAAGUCAGCAUUUACUUAGCAUUCACAUAUCAAGACUUUUUGUUUAUGUUAGGCAAUUGUCCUACCUCAGGAACAAAGAGAAGAGGCCAAAAAAUAAGGUUAAAUAAUGCAAAGUCUCUGAUUCGAAGUACUUUGACUCUUUUUGUGGAUUUUAGGGAUGUUUGGUGGGUAACCUACACCAUUCAAUCAUUCCCAUCAUAUAAUUAAAUGAAUCUCACUUAAUAAAAUCAAGAAUCAUAUCCUGUUCUUCAUCAAAAUCAUAUUCCAAACCAAAUGAGUGUAUGACAUACGCUACAUAAAUUAUAAUAGAGUCUUGUUAACCAUUGUUCGGACAAUGGUUAAGGAACUUAAAAGUAGUAUGUUUGCAUUGGUUUUAAUAACUUUUAACUUUUAAAAAGUUAAAUUUAUCAGUUUUUAUCAUUUUUCAAUACUAUAUUUAUAUUUUUAUCCUCCAAUACCUCAAGAGCAAUGAUUAGCAUUCUCAUCCGUAAUAAUAUGAUUUACAUUUAAGAAAUUCAAGCCACCUUAGUCAUUAUUAAUCAUAUCCUCGAUUUUGACUUGUAAUAGGAGCUAGAACAGCUAGCGCAACAAUAAAUUUUUUGACAAAUACAUGUCCAUCAACAAGGACAGACAAAAUAUUUAAUUUUGUAAGAAAAAAAACUCAUUCAUAAAAUUAUAAUCAUGUUAAUAUAUGCUCUACGAACACAUGUUAAGAAUUCAAUAAAUAAUAACCAUUUAGACACAUGCUCGGAAACCACAUCAAACCAUAAGACGAGGCAAUGAUAUGCAAAUCACAUUUGGAAUCCUUCAACAACCAUAUAGGUUUUUCACACAUUCGAAGACCGUUAACUCACCUCACAUAAAUACAGGUAAAUCACACUUAAAGGUUAGAGUGUUUACAGGUAGAUCAUCCUCCUCUGCGACUCAUCAAUUGUGUCAUCGAUUUGGUUUACCCUCAGCUUCUUUUUUAUUGAUUGAUUAUAACUUUUUAAUAUAUCAACGACUAUAAUUAUUUACAUUAUAUAUAUAUAUAUAUAUAUAUAUAUAUAUAUAUAUAUAUAUAUAUUUCAAAGUCUAAAUUAGUAAAUGUGCACUUUUUUAUUUGGACAAAAAAGUCAUUCACCUUUAUUAUUUAAAACUAUUACAUUGAGGGUUACUUUUGUAACUUUAUUAUAAAAUAAUGGCUAAAAUAUGGUUUUAGCCCAUGUAAAUAUGUCUCGUUUUAGUUUUAGUCCAUGUAAAAAAAAAUUGUUUUUGGUCCCUGCAAAAUUUUUUGUUUUUGAAAAUAGUUCCUCAGGGACUAUUUUCAAAAACAAAACAUUUUGCAGGGACCUUUUUAAAAAACAAAAAAUUUUGCAGGGACCAAAAACAAAAUUUUCUUUUUACAGGGACUAAAACCAAAACGAGACAUAUUUGCAGGGACUAAAACCAUAUUUUAACCUAAAAUAAUUGUUAACUUGCAUCACUUAGCUAAUUACUUAGAUCCACUUUUGUUAUGAACACAACAAUUACAAACAUUAAACAACUAAAAAAAAGACAAAAUAUUUGUGUUUUUAGUAAAGACAAAAUAUAGUUAACUUGCACCACUUAGCUAACUUAGACUCACUUUUAAUUUUUUUUUUAUUAAUUAAAUGCAAUUGAAAAAAAUAACCUUCUAUGAAAAACAAUUGGAAUAUGGGUAAUUGAAUUUUAUUUUUUUUUCAAAUAAAAAUGUGAGCACUACUAGAAAAAGCUAAGAUACCGACGAAAUUUAGAGACGGAAUUAGAGACGGAAAAAAUCAAUGAGAGAAGAAAAUAAGGUGUUUAAAAUUCAUUAUCUGGUAGAACAGGUCUCGUGCGGUUGUUUCAGCGGGGUUGAUUUAGUCCUCAAUCCGAAGCUUCAUUACACUUGAAGCUUCUUAGUCGUGUUGUGUAGAAAUUAAACCUUAAUAUUUUGACUCAAAGCUCGUCAUGUGUUACUAAUAUCUAUUUCUAUUAAGUAUAUAUUUGUAUAACUGUGCUACAAUCUAUCAAUGGAUAUAAUCUAUCCACCUGUUUAUUUUAUAAAGAUUAAUUAUAUGAUUGUUUUAAUACAAAUAAAGACCUUAAAAGUUAAAAAAGUUAUACUCCAUAUUUCAAUACUCAAAUUUCAUGGUUGUCCAAGUAAGUUGUAACAUAUACUCAAAUUUCAAAAUAACAAUUCGUUAUUCAACAAAUUUGAAAAUGAUGCAAUGAUAAUGACAUAUAAUCAUCUUAACAUCAAAAAUAUAGCACAUGUAGUUGGAAAAAAAAAAAAAAAAAAAACGCAUGUCAAAAGUGUGUACAUUUAAGAUCGAUAAGUCAUUGUAGGAGUAAACCUAGCCACUUGUUGUACAUACAAUAUGAUAUAGAUUUUGAGAAAUGUUAUUUGUACAACUAUUUUGUGACAACUUUCUCUUUCAUACUCACAUUAUAUUCUUACUCUUUCUCAUCCUUUUUCUCUCUCCAUUAUUUUUGACCAAUACCAAAAGAGAAAAAGAAGGUUGUCAUGAAAGUUGUAUCAAAUGGUUAGCUCGAAAGAUUUGUAUGUUACUUUACCACAUGAUUUUUUUUUCGAACAAGUCAAAAUGGAAUAUUAUAUCAUCAAAGAUGGUUCAUCUCGCAUAAGGUAUGCAAAAGAGAAACACCCACCAAAAAAUACAGCUAGAUGUCUGGUGCCAUAAAAGAGCACUCCUGAAGAAAAACAGAAUAAAACAAGGCUACAAUAAAACACCCAUACAAUGUAAAGGGUGCCGCCAACAGUCAUGGUAACUAAAAGCAUAAGUAGACUUGUUUGCCUUUAACCAAGAAAAAGACAUCAAUUUAAUAUUUUCCCAAUAAUUAAUUAUUACACCUCUCUUUAAAUAUAAUAUAUUCUUAAGUAGUUUUUUUGUCUUUGUUAUAUGACCAUUAAUUUGUAUAAUUUUAUCCCAAUUAAUUUAUAUUUUUAAUUAAAUUAAAGAUGCAUCUAGUAUAACUUCUGAAAAAUGGUUAAAGAGUUGAACAUCACGUCCUUAAGGAGCAUGAACAAACUUCUUAAAAAUGGUUAAAGAGUAUGAAUGUCAACAUGUAUCUAUCAACCAAUUUUUUAAUCAAACUAACCUGUUCCAUAUGAACAUAACCUCAGAUAUGGACCAGCUCCAUGCAUGAGUGUGAGUUAGCUUAAAACUUAUGUUAUAUCUAUCAUUCUUUCUAAUAAUUUUAUUGAAUGAAUUCUAUUUUGCCCGUGCAAAAAAAGAAGUAAAAAUGAACCUUCUAGGAGAGCAAGGAAAAAAUUACUGGUUAAUGGUGAUUUUGACUGGUUUCUUAACUAUGAAGUUAUGACCUUGCACCAACGUUAAGGACUAAGUAUUUGAUCUAUUAAAUUAGGGUUACGAAAGCUCUAGUUUUGCUAAAUUAUGAAAAUACUAGUUUUGUUUAUAAUAGUGAUCAGAGGUAUAUAUCAAGACAUGUAUAUUGAUUUUGCUAAAUACUACUAAAUUGGUGAAAUUGGAAUUCCUAAAGUUUAAUAUCCCUAUAUUAGACGAUCAUAUAUCAAGACAUGUAUAUUGAAUUUGCUAACUUUGAAAACAGCAUACAAACCAAUAUAUUAAAAUAAGAGCAGUGUCAACAUUUUCUGGCAAAUAAGCUAACUUAUUCUUUUGUUUACAUUUCAUUUCAAAUUCAUACCCAACUUGGGACGCAUUGGUCCAAAAAGCAUACUCACUAAUUCAAAGGCAAUCCAUUUUUUUAAUAAUAGCUGCAUGUAUCAUAAUACUUUUCACAUUUGUAAACUUAAUUUUCAAAGGCAACCAAGAUGAAUAGUUGAGGUAAAUUGGACAAAGAAAAAACCAUAUACAAAUACGUCUAUUCCUCUCCACCACCACCACCACCACCACCAUCUAAGCCAUACAAAUACGCUUCUCCACCACCACCAGUUUACAAAUACAAGUCCCCACCUCCACCCGUCUACUCACCACCACCACCACCAGUUUACAAGUACAAGUCCCCACCUCCACCACCAGUUUACAAGUACAAGUCCCCACCUCCACCCGUGUACUCACCACCACCACCACCAGUUUACAAGUACAAGUCCCCACGUCCACCCGUUUACUCACCACCUCCACCAGUUUACAACUACAAGUCCCCACCUCCACCCGUCUACUCACCACCUCCCCCGGUUUACACGUACAAGUCACCACCUCCUCCCGUCUAUUCACCACCUCCACCAGUUUACAAGUAUAAGUCUCCUCCUCCUCCUGCUUACUCACCACCUCCACCACAUUAUAUCUACUCUUCACCACCUCCUCCUCCUCCUCCUUACCACCACUAAAUGGUGGUUUACGAUAGUAUCCCACCGUAUACUUCUUCCUAUGUACAACCCACACAAAAUACAUAAUAUUUAAAAUAUUUUUAUAUAAUUCAAUUACAGUGCUUAUAAUAUUAAUCCGAUAAAUAUCUAGUUGGGCAUAGCUUCAAAUAAAAAAAUUUGGUAACACACAUAAAUGAUAAAAUUUACCAGAUAAAAAUUUAGUGACAUCAUAUCCUUUCUUUUUUAAAUUUUAUCAUUGAUGUGUGUGCGUUUAAAUAAAGUGUUGUUGCUUUUGGAAAUAGGUUUAAAUGCGAAACUACAUAUACCUUUUAAAGUUUUAAUUUAAAAAAUUGGAUUGUUAAAAUAUUAUCAUUGGCAAUUUGUAACAAAAAAAAUGAGACCUGAUGCAGAAGGUGAGUCAUGAGGUCAUCCACUAUACAAUAUGAUCACAUUAUGAUCUUAUUAAUUUUGUUUGAUUUAAAAUUUCAAGCGAUUAAUAAUCCUAAUAAACAGUUUUAGCUAGAUUAUAUAAUGUUUAAGGCAAAACCAUUUUCUUAAUGAAAGAUAUUGAUAUAUUUAUGUGUACAUAUACUUUGCAGGGUUUGAGGAAUAUAAUGGAAAUAAUAAAGAGAAGACAGUGCAAAGCAGGAAAGAUGCAUCAAUUCACAAUUAUAUAGCACAAUAAAAACAACAACCUAAGCAGUUUCCACGCACUCUGAUUCAGAAAAUGUCACUCCUUUUUUCUUCAUUUUAUUUAUGAGAUUAUUAUUCUCAUUAUUGUGCUUUGAUGUUUGAAUUUAUACUGUUGUAAAGCACUGUGUGUAAUAUUAUUCAAAUAAAUAGAGAACGAUUCUGAAAUUUGUCAUAUUGUAAAGAAUUGAAUAUAUACGGUGGCAGAGCCAAUAAUUUUAUCGAGUUUGAAUAAAAAAUUUACCGCAGAUUCACAUGCGACAUAAUAUAUAAAUAGUCAUAAAUCGAAAUAAAAUAGGCUCAUCAUUUUAUCGAUAAAAAUUACAAUUUAUUUGAAAUAAGAAAGAUGAAACAUAACCUGUCAAUAAUGUGCUAAAUAAAAUUAGAAGGUAAAUGCCCUUCCCGAGACCUCUUUGCGGUGAAUGUUCGAAUAAUAUCAACAACAUCAAGUGACUUGAAUUUCUCCCACUCGGUGUAACAUAUCAUCAAGUCAUUGAACCACACAAUGUUGAUCUUGUUGGUAACAAUUUUUUCUCACGGGCUUAUAAGAUUAUUUUACCAGCUUAUUGACAGGGCUUGAUAACUGAUGGACUUUCAACUUUUGUUGAUGUUUGUAAUAACUUUGGCGCACCCGCUAUUGUUGAAGAUCCACAAAUUAGAAGUUAAAAUCUGAUUCAUUAUGCUUUGAUGUAGAAAUGAUUGUAAGUUUUUUUGGGUAUGAAGUGAUUGUAUGUCUUUUUUUUUUGUCUAAUAAGCUAUUAUAAAUAGUGAUUCAAAUUUUGUUACCAUAAAUUAAAUGAGCAAUGGAGUAUAUGUAAAUUUUGAUUUAUGCGAGUAUUGAGUAUUUCCGUGAGUAUUGGUUUGGAUGAAUGGUAUAAUAGUUCAUAGUUAGGGAGAAUUAUUCUAAUUAAGCCACUUCAAGAAUUUAUUCUAAAAAUUGAUUAUUGUAAUCAAUUUUAAAUUCCAAUAAUAUUGAUUAUAAUAUUUUAUUAUAUUUAUUAAACUAAUUUUAGUAGUAAUUUUAUGAAUUAUUCCUUUUUAGAAUUUAUAGUAGAAUAGAAAAUAUAAAAUAAAAUAAAACAAUGAUAAGAUUUAGUGACAGCCGCAACCGCAGGUAUAGGUCCGUAAUGUUUUUAAAAUGGUCUACUUGGAAUUACAUACGUUUUGUCCGUAGGUAAAGGUGGAAAAUAUGCAGCGACAUCCAUUUGACAAUGACAGACGGAUUUAGCUACGGAAAUUUAUCCUAGAGUGACGGAUUUUUGUUGUCACUACAAGUUAAAUUUCUUGUAGCGAUACAAAGAAAGUAUCGGUUAAGCCCGGGCAUGUACCCAGACUAGAUGGGUUGUAAAACCGCUCCUGAAAAUAUACAGAAUACAUGCAUGAUUCAAAAACUAUCUAAUUUUUCUGGAAAAAAGGCUAAACUGCAGUUUUGACCUCCUAACUUUGUAAAUGUUGGGAUUUUGGCCCCCUUUUAAAAAAAUGAAAAUUUUCCUCCCCUAUGUUUUAGCCCCUUUGCAAAAGUGACCAUUUGGUCAAUUUUGACCGGGUCAACACGGAGGUGGCACUUCAUUAAUGGUGCGGGCACGCUACAUGUGUAUUUCGCAAAUUUUUUAAAUCAAAAUGCCACUUGUGUAUUUACUUGAAUUAAGAAAAAAAAAACUAUAUAAAGGUCUUGCACGUGUGAAGUCUUUCAGAUUCUAGGGUUAAAAAAUUUCCCAAAUAUUAACAUCAAUGAAAAACCACAAACCCCUAAGUUUCCAAAUCAAAUCUUCAUCCAUAAUCUCCUUCCCAAAUUGUUUCUGAAUUCGAAUAUCCUUCAUAAAUCGAUUGUCAGGUUUUUCUUCAUCUUUGUUUGUUGCGAAAAUGAAAUGGGUUGAAGAUGGAAAGGCGGCGACGAGUACAGGUUCGAAGAAGAAGAAGAAUAAAGAUGCGACAGGGAGUACAGGAACAAAGAAGAAGAAGAAGGAUGCGACAACGACUAAAGGUUCAGAGAAGACGAGAGAUUUGAAUAUGGAAGUUCAAUCAACUCAAGGAAACAUGUUCAAUGGAAAGAUUCCCGACAUGGAUGCUUCAUAGUAAGCGUUUUUUUGUUUUCAUAUGUCUAUUAACUAUAAAGUAAAGCUCAUGUUACAUUAUUUCUGAAUAAAAAAGGGUUGUUGGACCCAGAAACAGUUGAAGAUGAAUGGUUACAUGCCAUUUUUCGUUUUCCGAUCUGCAAACACACAAAACAAAUCGACCUGGAAGAAAGGAUGUAGAGGAAGAAUCGAUUUCAGAUAGGUAAUGUGAAGGAUGGUUGAAGAAGAUGAAGUUUCGAUUAUGGAGAAGAAUGGAUGAAGAAGAGCGAAUGAAGAAGAAAGGUUGAAGAAUUGGGGGUUUUUAAGGUUGGAGAUUUUUACCGUUGGAACUCUCACGUGCCAAUCCUUUAUCUAUUAUUUUUUUUAAUUCAAGUAAUACAUAGGUGGCAUUUUUAUUUUAAAAAAAAUGGCAAAAUACACAUGUGGCGUGCCAACACCAUUAAUGAAGUGCCACCUCCGUGUUGAUCUGGUCAAAAUUGACCAAAAUGUCACUUUUUCAAAGGGGCUAAAACACGGGGGGAGGGGGGGCAAAAUUUUGAUUUUUUUUUUAAUAGGGGGACAAAAUCGCAACAUUGACAAUGUUAGGGGGGACAAAAUCUGCUCCUUUCCGUCCCUUUGGUUUCGAUAAGAGUGGUUAAGUACCAUAUUGAGUGGUUUUAAUCGAGCGAUUAAGCCAUAUCUUUUAGGUGUAUAUACUCGAACAAUUACAUAUUGUGCAAUACGUGAUUGAAUAGUGAUAUGAGCUGUUUUAUUCUGGAGGCGACGCGGUUGUUAGUCUACAUUGCACAAACUUGGGUAGUGCCGCGAAACGUCUUAAAGAGAGCGACCUGGUCGUGACUCAACCUGAUAAUUUAUUCGGUACUAGUUUCUGAUUUGUAAUCUCAACAAAUAUCUCAUGAGCUAUAUUCUUCGGUAGUAGGCUUCAGUUUAUGUCCAACAAUAUAAAUAGGGGGAUUCGAAGAAUCCUAACCGUUGCUUACUUUUCUGUAACCAAAACAGGUAACUUGCUAUGUUGCAAACAGAUAAACAUUGCAAUCUCUAACCUUUAAACUCUUUUAUUUUAUAUCGUCACCUUAAAAUAAGUAACGUGAAUUGUUAGGACGAAAUGACAAUCCAUGUGGAUACGAUACUGUACUUAUCACUUUAUUACUUGGUAAACGAUUUGGUACACUUGCAUAAUCCGCACAUCAAUAAUCUUUGUUUGUUAGAAGUUUCUUGCUUGUAUGCUUGAGCAUUGAAAGUCUCUUGCUUGUGUGGCUGAGCAAUUGUAAUCUUGUAUGAUUAUAGUAAAAAAUCUCUUGUAAGUGACAAGGGUAUUAAACUACUUCGGGAUUGAUACCUUGAAACGCUUACCAGAAGGCCAUCGACAUAUAAAUAGACUUUACACAUCUUGUGCUCCAAUGUGUACCUUUAAUAUAAGUCAUUUUGCCUAUUAAAAAAGCAAAGAUGAAUUGAUUUAAAAGUUAACAAACCCAAGUCACACCUCAUCAAGGAACAAAAAGUCAGCAUUUACUUAGCAUUCAUAUAUCAAGACUUUUGGGUUAGGUUAGGCAAUUGUACCACAUCAGGAACAUUUAGAAGAGGCCAAAAAAUAAGGUUAAUUAAAUAAUGCAAAGGCUCUAAUUCGAACUACUUUGACUCUUUGUGUGGAUUUUAGGUAUGUUUGGUGGGUAACCUAUAUCAUUCAAUCAUUCCCAUCAUAUCAUAUAAUUAAAUAAAUCCCACUUAAUAAAAUUGAGAAUCAUGUUCAUGAUCAAGUUGGUGUAUGCUUAGAACAGUCUCAUGGUAUAAUUAAUUUGUCCCUACUGAACAAAAUCAUAAUUUAGAAACAUUCAUAAAUUAUAAAUAAUAAUACAAUCUUAGUCAUUUAUUAAUCAUAUCCUCAAUUUUGACCUGCAAUAGGAGCUAGCACACAGCUAGCGCAGAAAUAUAUUUUUUCCAAAUUCAUGUCUGUUACUUAUAGUUGUCAAAAAAAAAAAAAAUGUCUAUUACUUAUAGAGACAGAUCAAUUAUUUAUUUUUUACAAGGACAAAAUUCAUACUUAAAAUUAUAAGACUAAAAGUAUAUAAAAUACUUUAAUUAGAGUCUAUCAUUGACUAAGGUAAAGGUUAGAGUUUUUACAGGUAGAACAUUCCAUCAACUGUGGUUUACCCUCGACUUCUUUUUUAUUUAUUUAUUGAUUAUAACUUUUUAAUAUAAAAACAACCAUAUUUUUUAAAUACAAAUAACUAUAAUCAGUUUUCUUAUUUAUUUGCAGCUUAAUUCAGUUGGUUUGAAUAAUGCAUAAUAUAUGCAAGGUCCGUGGUUCAAAUCCCGGCCACCACAAAAAAAAAUGUAUUGUAAAAAAAAUGUAUAAUAUAUAUAUAUAGACACACACUAUAUCUUUUUCAACUUUUUUGGGCUGACUUUUUCUAUUUCUAAAAAUGUCUUCAAUUUUCAAUACAAAAACACAUGUAACAAAUAGAUAAGAACAAACGUAAAUAUUAAAAAAAUGUAACAAACUCGAUAUGAAUAUAUAUAUAUGUGUGUGUGUGUGUGUCUGGUUUUUUCCUUUAUCAUUUAAAAAGUGUAACAAAUAGAUGAGUAUAUUUAUACUUACUUUUUCAUUAUCUCAAUUAUAUCUUUAAACAAUUUUUUUUUCUAUAAUAAAGAUUGUUGUUUUUAUCAUUAAAAAAAAAUUAGAUUAUAUUUUUUUUGUUAUAUUGUUGGUGUCAUUGAAAUAGAUAAUCAUUGUUAGUUUGAUUUGUUAUAACUUAAAGCAACAAACAUUUAUGUUUUGUUAGAAUAAAAAUCAAAAUUUAUUAAAAAAAACAUGCGUUCAUAAAUUGCAAUAAAAAGAAGGGAAAUAGAUGAGUUUGAACAGACUUUUUCAUUACUUGUUUUAACCUUCAUUUAAAAUAUUUUAUUUACAAUUUUAUCAUUUAAUAAUAUUAUUUUAAAUUUUAAUCAAAAAAUUGAAUCCUAUUAAAAUAGGAAAUAUGCCACUACAAUAGAAACAAUAUUAUCAAUAUUAUAUAAGAAGAGGAUAGAUAUUUUGAGCUGAAUUUUUAUAAUUCCAAUUAUAUUCUUAAACAAAUUUUCUUAUAUUAAUGUUAUAUUGUUGGUGGUAUUAAAAAAUAGUAUUUAUGUUAUAUUUGUUAAAUUAUUAUUAUUAUUGAAAAAGAUAACAUGUUUUUCUGAGUUUAUACUUAUAAUUUUGUUACAUACUCUCGUUUCUUGUUUUUUUUUAUUAAAUAUAUAUAAACAACGGAAGUGACCCUUCCCGUAUAAGAUGUGUUAAGGAAGGUCAACUAGAGUUUGUACAAAGACAGCAAAGCCAAAAACAUAGGAGAACUGCCGCAAAACACGAAAGAUAUAAUAAAUAAGGGUUGUUUUUUCUUUCUUUAAAAAAAAAACAAAAAGAAAUAAGGGUAGUGUUAACUUGUGCUUUUAAGACACAAGUUAAGAAUUUAAAAAUGGAAUUAAAUCAUAAAUUAUGUCUUGAAAAGAUAAGAUUUUGAAUUUCUAGAAUAUUGAAUGCACAAUUUUCAACAAAAUAUUUCUAUUUUUAGUUUCUUAACUUGUGCCUUGAGUACAAAAAUUAACAUUUCCUUGCAAAUAAAUGCCCAAACAAAAUAAAUGUAAGUAUACUCUCGUUUCUAGUUUGUUUAAUAUCUAUUUCUAUCAAGUAUAUAUUUGUAUACUUUAUGCUACAAUCCAUCAAUGGAUAUCAUAUAUACAUUCACCUGUUUAUUUUAUAAAGAUUAUGGAACAAUUAUAAACACAAGGAAAAAGUAGAAAACAGCGAGAGAAAGAAAGAGAGAACACAAAAUAAUUUGUUUACCCAGUUCGGUUCAAAUUGACCUAGUCCGAGGCAGAGAGCAGCCCUCCGUUCCACUAUAAUGAUGAGUAACUUUACAAAAGAGAUAUCAAUGAGUUACAAGAAUAAGUCUCCAAACCUAAUUGUACCCAAAGUCUCAAUCUCUUCCCGUGAACAAGAGACUCAAUCCUAAUAGUGUUUCCCAAGGUGAAUCAACAACAACCCUAGUUUCUCCCGCUUAGAGAAAUCUCUCUAAAACCUUGGUUUGUUGUCUGUUUCUAAACCCUUGUUUUCAGCCCCUUCUAUCUCAAGGUUUACAUGUGAUACAAGGUUUAUAUUUAUAGUAAAAGUAAUCGCUAAAAAAUUGGAACAAAUCUCACGCUGAAAAGUACAUUUUAUUUUUAUGCAUCAGUGUAAAAUCGUACUACGAUUUUCCAAAUCGUAUUUCGAUUUUUCCAAAAUGGAAGUGCCAAAUCUGAUCCAAAAAUCGUACUACGAUUUUCCAAAUCAUGCUACAAAUUUGACAGCUUCCAGAUUUUAAUUUUGAGUCACUUUUACAACAAAGACCUUAAAGUUUGUGGUAUUAUAUACUUAAUAUAAUACUCCCAUGGCAACCUGAUUAGCUCCCUUGUUAUUAGAAAGUUACACGCAAUUUCAGGGUUUGGUUGUAUUAUAUCCUGUCCAGCUAAGUUGUAACAUACUCAAAUUUCCAAAUAAAAAUUCGUUAUUCAACAAAUUUGAAAAUGAUGCAGUGAUAAUGACAUAUAAUCAUCUAACACAUGUAAUCAUAUAACCAGUUUGGCUAGGUGAUACUUAUGGUAGUUGGACAAAAAAAAUAUCACAUGUCAAAUGUGUGUACAUUUAAGAUUGAUAAGUCAUUGAAUGAGAAACUUAGCCACUUGUUGUACAUACAAAUAUUUGUACAACUUUUAGAUAAUUUUCUAUUUUAUAUUCACAUUAUAUUUUUACUCUUUUUUUUUCUUUUUUUUCUUUAUUGUUUUUUAUCAAUAAAAAUAGAGAAAAUGAAAAUUAUCAAAAAUAUUGUAUCAAAUGGUUGUUCAAAUAUUAUUGCUCAAAAUAUACAAUAUGAUAUAAUUUUCCAGGAUCGAAAGAUCUAAAUAUGUUCCUUUCCCACAUAAUUAAUUAUUACACCUGUCUUUAAAUAUAAUAUCUUUUUUUUUUUUAAUUUUUAGUAGUUCUCAUGUCUUUGUUAUACGACCGUUAAUUUGUAUAAUUUUAUUUCCAUUAAUUUAUAUUUUUUUUAAUUAAAUCAAAGGUGCAUCUAAUAUACUUUUUUUUUAAGAGGCUAAAAUGAAAUACAUUACCAAAACAAGAUAUUUUUCCUAGCACAAGAUGUACAAAGGAAGAACAAUAGAGUCAAUAGAAUAUGUACAAUCAAGCAGAAAGAAAGCACCAGAGACCUAUAAGCAUGAAACAGAACUAAGUAGUGCCCAAAAUAACUAAUGGACUAAGCAACAAACCAUGAAAAUUAAACGAAAGAGAGACAAGUUUCGCCUUCAACCACGUAAAGGAAAGAACCUUAAUCUAAUAUAACUUCUUAAAAAUAGUUAAAGAGUUGAACAUUACCACCUUAAAGAGUAUGAACAAACUUUUUAAAUAUGGUUAAACAGGAUGAAUGUCACGUAUUUACAGUACAUAUAUCUUUGGUUUUUAUAUGUGUUUAGUCUCUGUAUAUGGGGUCAUUUAAAAAAUUAAUCAUUUAAAAUGGUCUCUACAUUCCUUCAUUAUGACAUUUUGCCCUCCCAAAAAUUAAUCAUUAAAAAUUUGGUCCCCCCUACUCAAUCACUGUCACGUCACUGGAUUAGCUGACGUGGUACAUUGACUCAGCAAAGUUUGAUGUGAAGUGACAAAAAUAGCCCUAACACUCUGUUUGGUAUGAGAGAAUUACAGCAGAGAGAGAUAUUGAAGAGAGAAAGAGAAGAGAAAUAUGGUAUUUCUCUUGUUUGGCAAAGGCAAGAAAGAGGGAGGAGAGAUAAGUUUUGCGUGGGAUCCACGUGUUUUUUGUUCGCCCCUAUAAACGAAGAAAGAAGAAAGAGGAGAGAAAUAUACAUUUACUCCCUUUGCCUUUUAUACCCUUCAAUUUAAGACACAACACACCUUUUUUUUUUCUCAUUACUUUGUUUUUAUUCUUAAUAGGCUUAUCUAAAAAUUAUUUCAAGGACAUUUGUACUUUAAAAAAAAAAAAAUUGAAGAAGCUAAACUAACCCCCUCAAAUUGGCACUAGAGAGAAUCGAACUUGAAACCUUGAGGAGGAGCACACUCCCAGGUCCCAAGCCAAUACCACUAGGCCAACCCAAGUGGGUUUGUACUUUUAAAAAUUAAUCACACUUCUCUCUCUUCUAUUUCUCUUAAUUUUAACCAAACAAUACCUUAAAUCUAUUCUAUUUUUCAUUUUUUUCUCUCUUCUCAUACUCUCUCUCACCUAUUUCUCUCUUCUCAAUUUCUUCUUUCAACCAAACACACCCUAAGUAAUUUCGCUGCCCUCUUAUGGAAGGAGGGGCAUUUACUUUACAAGUAAAUAAAGUAUCUUUUUUAAUUUAAAAUUUCCUCUUUAUGGUUUUCUUAACUAAUGUCCUGGGUAGGGCUAGACAAGGACCCGCGACCCGGCCCAACCCGAAAAAACCGAAGAAAAAAAACCGAGCUGAGUGGGUUAAAGCAGGUCCGCGGGUCAAACGUGUCAUAAAUGCGGGUUCACAAGGGUAUACAUGGGCAGAGGCGGGUAACGGACCUUCACCUGCGGGUACCCGAACCCGCCAGUAUUGGAUAAGUAAAAACGACGUCGUUUUGAAGAGUGGGGAGACCACUAACCCUAGAUCUAACCCAUUCAUUUCAUUUCUUCUAAAAAAUUCUCUCAUUCACCUCACACUCUUUCACCUUCCUCUUCAAACCCUAGUGCCGCCGCCGCAUCUAACCACCACCACCACACCAUCAAAUCCUCCUACCAACAUGAAUCACCACUUUCCAACUUGAUUCCCUUUGUUUUACGCCGUUCUCUGUCAAUCCACGCAGAAAAAUGGAGGCAGAUCCUGAAACUCUCUCUCACUCUCAGUAGCUAACACCACUGUAGAACCGUAAAUCGCCGUCGUUUUUGUUUCAUGAAUCACGUCUCUGCUCUGCAUAUGCUUCAGAUCUAAAGGUUAGAUAUUUUGUUUUUAAUCUUUGUAAUUUUUUAUUUUUAUUUAGGGUUUAUGAGUGUCUCACCACAUGCUUUUGUUUUUGUUUGAUGAUUCACAUCCAUGCUCCGCGUAUGCUUCAAAUCUGAAGGUUGGUUUUUGUUACAUUUUUCAUAUUUUGUGCUUUGAUUUUUUCAAUUCUUGCUUCUAACAUUUUUUUUUUGUUUCAAUCUCAUCUCUGCUGCUUAUGCAUUUGCUGAAGAUUUUUUUUUUGUUUCAAUCUCAUUUUCUCAGACCGGCUUAGGAAACUUCCAUAUCACUGAAUAUUUUUCCAGAUCCGAGAGGUAAUCUUCCUUCUUGACAUCUAGAUCUGAGAGGUAAUGAUUUAUCUUAAUAUAUUUAGUUUUGUAUUUGUUGAGUUUAUCUAUGUCUUUGAUGUAUAUUUUGUUGAGUUUAUGCAUGAUUAUUAAUGUCUAUAGCUUCUGACUUGAUUAUGUUUAUGCAUACUUUGUUGAUUCUUAUACUUCUUCCUUGGAGUUCAUUUUUUCUUUGUUUCUUUCUUAUCCUAAUGGUUUGUUGUUUAUCUAUUUAUUUUGUUUGUAGUAUUCUAAUGGUCCAUUAAUUAUCUUGUUUGUAUAGACACAUGAAAACUGAUACUGCUAGUGUGAAUCCUUUGGCUCAAAUUCCAAUUCUAGUGCAAGGCCAAGGACCUGAACAUGCUAAGGUAGUGCUAAAACUAAAGAAAAGAAAACCUGCUAGACCUCCUUCAAUGGUUUGGAGACAUUUUAUGAAGAAAAAAGACACUGCCUUUUGUAACUAUUGCUUCACUUCUUUUGUUUCAAAUGCUUCCAACCAUCGAACUAACAACAUGCUUAAACACAUGAUGAUUUGUCCAAAAACAUGAAGGUAGUUUUUUUAUUACUCUGAGUUAUGUUGAUUUAGUAAUUUUAUUGUAACUUUGUAUUUGAUUUAGUCUAUUUUAACUCUAUUUUGGUAGAUGUCUUUGAUGUUAGUUUGCUAGUGUUAUAUUUUGUGGCUUUGAUUUAUUAGUACUAAUGUAUAUUUUUUAUAUUGUUUUUCACAGGUUAACAAUAUUCUUACUUGCUAUGAUGGUAUCUCUUGAUCUAUUGUGAAUCAAGAUAUACCAAGGAGGUGUUAUUUUUUGUUAUUCAGAUCCAGUUUUAGUAUUAUUAUAUUCAAGACCACUAUAUUUAGUUUUUUAUUUAUUAAGGAUAUGUAAAUUGUUAAACUUAUUUUUAUUGGUUGUGUAAGUUAAAUUAAGGCUCGAUAUCAAAUGGGAAAAUGAGACAUCAUCAUCCCCCUUUAACAAGCUUCUUAAAGGAAAAAAUUUAACAAAAUUAUGACAAUAUGAUCUAAGUUAAAUAAACAUACAAAAUGGUUUAAUACAAGAGAAAAUGAAACACUACAAAAUUUGUUGGGGCAGAAAUUCUAAAUGGCACAUUAAAAAUGAACAUAAAAAAUGGUCCAUUACAGUGAAAUUAAAAAUAAAUCGCAACAAAAUUAAUUGGGCCAGAAAUGGUUGAAUGACCCAUUAAUUGGUCCAACCCGUUUGAACCCAACCGUUUAACCCGUAACCCGAUUCACCCGAACCCAACCAAUCCGACUCCAUUAUUUGGGUAGAAAUGGGUGUGUAUUCUACACCCGCAGGUUGGGCUGGAGUAGAGGUUUGGACCCGAACCCGCCCGAUGUCCACCCCUAGUCCCGGGGCACUGGUUAACAUAAACCUAAAACAAAAAUAGAAAAUAAUGACCUAAGUUUUCUAAUAAUUGAUAUUUUAUUAGCUUAAAACUUUUGUUAUAUCGAUCAUUCCUUUCCACUCUUUGUUCUUGGUUGUGUUUUAAUGAAAAAAAAGAAGUAAAAAUGAACCUUCUAUGAGAGCAAGGAAAAAAUUACUGGUUAAGCCUUAUGACCUUGCACCAACUCUAAGGACAUUAAUUAUGUUAUAUAGCAAGAUAUCCUCUCAUAAAUUGGUGAAAUUGGAAUUCCUAAAGUUUAGUUUCCCUAUAUUAGACGAUCAUAUAUCAAGACAUGGAUAUUAUUUUGCUAACUUUGAAAACAGCAUACAAACCAAAAUAGUACGUAUUAAAAUAAGAGCACCGUCAACAUUUUCUAGCUAAUAAGCUAACUUACUUUAUUCUUUUGUUUACAUUUCAUUUCAAAUUCAUGCCCAACUUGGGACGCAUUGGUCCAAAAAGCAUACUCAUUUAUUCAAUGGGAAAAACUUUUUUUAAUGGGUCUUGCUGACCAUUGCUCGAUGGCAAUGGUUAAGGAAGGCAAAAGUAGCAUGUUUGUAUUGAUUUCAACAACAUUUUGACUUUUAAAAAAUUAAAUUUAUCACUUUUCACCAUUUACCAAUGCUAUAUUUCUAUUUUUAUCCACUUAUCCAAUGCGCCAAACGCAAUGAUUAGCGUUCUCAUUUUUUAAUAAUAGCUGCAAUGUUACAUAAUCGUUUUCACAUCUGUAUACUUAGUUUGUCUUAAAAAGACAGUCACAUUGAAUAUUUAAUUAAAAUUUUAUUUUUAUUCAAUUAUACACUAUAAUUGAUAUUAAGCGCCAUUAAAAAAAUUAUUAAGUGGAUAACAAAUUAUUAUUCACUAUAAUUUUACUAUAAUUAUUAUUCUUCACUUUGAAUUACCAAGGUAAUUUAAUAAAAUUAAUAUUCUAUGUGACGUAUUUGUAAUUACUUCCUAAUUCACGUGAAAUGAUUUACUUUGCUAGUUAUUAGAAUUUUAAUUUAUUAUAAUAUUUUUCUUUUUGCUGUUGGAUAAUAGGUGAAUUAUAAAAUGUGUCAAAUCAUAGUACACCAACCAAGAUGAAUUGUUGAGGUAAAAUGGAUAAAGAAAAAACUAUAUAAAGGGUACUACUAUCUUUCAUAAGAGCAACAACAAAACACACUUUAGGAAAAUAUGAGGUUCCAAAUGGCCUCCAUUACUCUUACUAUUGCAUUCACGAUAAUCUCUCUUAGCCUGCCAUCCCAAAUUUCAGCAAACAAUUACGUCUAUUCAUCUCCACCACCACCAUCUAAGCCAUACAAAUACGCUUCCCCACCACCACCAGUUUACAAGUAUAAAUCACCACCCCCACCUGUCUACUCACCACCUCCACCUGUCUACUCACCACCACCACCAGUUUACAAGUACAAGUCACCCCCUCCACCUGUCUACUCACCACCUCCACCAGUUUACAAGUACAAGUCCCCACCUCCACCCGUCUACUCACCACCUCCCCCGGUUUAUAAGUACAAGUCACCACCUCCUCCCGUCUAUUCACCACCUCCACCAGUUUACAAGUAUAAGUCUCCUCCUCCUCCUGCAUACUCACCACCUCCACCACAUUAUAUCUACUCUUCACCACCUCCUCCUUACCACCACUAAAUGGUGGUUUACGAUAGUAUCCCACGGUAUACUUCUUAUUACAUACAACCCACACAAAAUACUUUUAUAUAAUUCAAUUACAGUGGUUAUAAUAUUAAUCUGAUAAAUAUCUAGUUAGACAUAGCUUCAAAUAAAAAAAUAUUUGGUAACACAUAUAAAUGAUAAAAUUUAGCAGAUAAAAAUUUAAUGAUAUCAUUUAAUAUCUUUUCUUCUUAAAAUUUUAUCAUUUAUGUGUGCACGCCCAAAUAAAGUGUCGUGGCUUUUGAAAAGUUUCUUAUAAACCUUGUGGAAAUAGGUUUAAAUGUGAAAUUACAUAUACUUUUUAAAGUUUUAAUUUAAAAAAUUCGAUUGUUCAAUCUUUUAAAAUAUUAUUAUUGGCAAUUUGAAACAAUAAAGUUGAGACCUGAUGCAGAAGGUGAGUGCAUGAGGUCAACCACUAUAGAUUAUGAUCAUAUUAUAGAACUUAGCUAGAAAAGAAAAAAUAUAGUUAUAUGCUUCUUAUUAAUUUUGUUUGAUUUAAAAUUUCAAGCGAUUAAUAAUCCUAAUAAACAGUUUUAGCUAGAUUGAAUAAUGUUUAAGGCAAAACCAUUUUCUUAAUGAAAGAUAUUGAUAUAUUUAUGUGUGCAUAUACUUUGCAGGGUUUGAGGAAUAUAAUUGAAAUAAAGAGAAGACAGUGCAAAGCAGGAAAGAUGUCACUCUGAUUCAGAAAAUGUCACUCUAUUAUUUUUCAUUUGUUUGUUUUAUGAGAUUAUAUUCUCAUUAUUGUGCUUGAUGUUUGAAUUUAUACUGUUGUAAAGCACUCUGUGUAAUAUUAUUCAAAUAAAUAGAGAACGAUUCUGAAAUUUGUCAUAUUGUAAAGAAUUGGAUAUACCUAAUAUUUGAAUGCAUUUUCGAUCCCUUAACUUUUAAAAAAUUGUGAUUUAUAGAAAUAUAGUCUUUUAACCCUUUAUUUUUAGUAAAAUAUGUUCUUUUGUCCCUCUAUCUUUAGGGAAAUAUGCUAUUUUGAUUUCUUAUUUUUACAAAAAGUAGUAAUUUUGCUUGCUGUUUUAGAACACGUGGUAUCUUCUCAACAGUUUUGCUGCAUUUUGUAAAUUAAAGGUAAAAUAAUUUUUUUUUUUAUUAGAGGAUCAAAAUCGCAACUUUUUAAAAGUUAAAUCAUCAAAAAUACAUUUAAGCCUAUACAUAAUACAUUAUAUGCAAACUUCAAAAACUAUCUAAUUUGAUGGCGGUAUAUGUCAAUCACUUUAUAUCCUAAUCAUCCUCUAUUUCAUGUUGGAUCUGUCUAACUUUUUGAUGAUAUGGAUAGUGGGUCCAAUCAAGGUGAUUCAAUAUCCAACGGAAACGUCUAAACACGUUUUGACUUCCAACAUAAGGCAUUGCCCCUAACUUCGGUUAACAAUAUUGGGUUUCAGUAAUAACAAAGAGACGGCUAGAGUUGUUUAAUAAUAUUUUAAUAGCAUUACGUUACAAAAGGUUAUUGGAGAAUGUAUAUAUAAAAUCUAAUAAACAACUAAAUUAGUAAUAUAAAUAUCCAAUAGUUUAAACUCAAUCCUUUAUUAUCUAAUUUCUUUUCUCAAAUUCACGACUCAUCAACAAGAAGAAUUAUGAGUUUGUCAAAUCAAAUAGGAGGACGAACGAAGCGGAAGCUGGUGGGCAUGUAACGUCUGAGGCUAACGAGGAUUGAGAGUGGUCGCUGGUGCACAAGUUAAGAGGAUGAGCUGCUCCUGACAUCUUCUAGUCAAACCGAAUCACAUUGGAAUGAGAGGAAUCCUGAGACCGUGCAGAUAUGAACUGCAUGAUUGAAGAAAGACUUAUAAAUUUUUUUGGCACUAUCUAUAUCAACAAGAUGCAUCUUCUUUUUUAUAAUUCAUUCCAUAAGAACUCCACAGUUAAGCAUGUUUGACAUGGAGCAAUUUUAGGAUGGAUGACCUUUUAGAAAGUUUUCCAGAAAACGUGUGAGUUUGGACAAAACACACUGAAAAGACUCAUGUUGGUUUUGGGGUCAGUCGGUCAGCAAUACUUAAAAUCGCCUCAAUAUUAUAAGAAACAUAAUAAAUAAUAUAAAGUUCUAACACUGCCCCUCAAAUGAAAGAUGGAAUGAUAUUGAAGUGAAAACUCGCGCUAUAUUGAGUGAAAUUUUAUAAACUUUCAGUCUUUAUUUCUGUCAAUGUUAGUUUUUUUGGUCAUCUAACUCAAAUUUGAAAAUUUUCCUGUUAUCUUGAACAGUUUCUAGUUCACUUUGUUAAGUUACUACAACUAAUAAAAAUACACUGAAUUUUCAAUCUAGAGACAUAAUUCAGUUUAUUUUGAUGAGUAGCAAAUUUUUAUUCUUUUUGAAAUCAUAAAAUCCUGAUCCUUCACUUUUACUCAAAUUAUAUAUGUCCGUUGUCUUAAGAUAGAUGGACAUUUAUAUGAAAGUCUUGGUUUGAUUCAAGUUGAGUAAAAUAUGGUCAAAUUUGGGGAUUAAAAAUACAUAGUAUUUAUAUUUUGCUUAUGUCAUAUAAGCUGCUAUGAUCUAUUUCCUCUCACUUUUAUAGGUCUUGGUGUUGAAUAAGAAACUAAGAUUUUAAAUUGUAGUUGAUUCGCGGAAUGAGCAAAGUGAUCCUAGUGAGCUAGUUUCAAAGGGUUGUGAACUACAAAGUUUGAUGGGCGAACCAGAGGUGAGGUCAAAGAAAGGAAUUGAAGAGGGUUUCAUGGAAGAAGCAAGUGAACAUUCGAUAGGCAAACAACAUUUCUCCUAGCCAAGUAAGGCGGUGUUAGUGACCCUUUGUGUUGUGAAUUCGAUGAAAAAUCACACCAAUAACAACUUGAUGUGUGGAGCAAGGGAUAAUUAAGCAACCAAAAUCAAAGCGUAUGAAAGUUAUAAAUACAAGCCAAAAGUAGAAAACAACGGCGAGAAGAACACAAAGAAGAAGAAGAACACAAAGAAACUUGUUGACCCAGUUCGGUCCAAUCUGACCUAGUCUGGGGGAGAGAGCAGCCCUCCAAUCCACUAUAUGAUGAGUUUCGUUACAAAGAGAAAUCAAUGGGUUACAAGAAUAAGUCUCCCGAUUAAUUCUACUCAAAGUCCCAAUCUCUUCCCGUAACCAAGAGACUCCAAUCCUAAUAGUGUUUCCCAAGGUGAAUCAACCCACAAACCCUAGUGUUUGCUCCUAAGAGACAAACUCUAUACAAACCCUAGUUUUGUUGUUGCUUUUCUAAACCCUUGUUUCAGCCCCCUCUAUCUCAAAGUUUGCUUUGAUACAAGGUCUAUAUUUAUAGUAAAAGUAUAACUCAUAAAUUUGGAACAAAUACCACACUGAAGAUUCGUUUUUUUUUUCUCCUUCAGUGAAAGAAUAUUUGCAUCAAAAAUAUAAUAUUCCCUUUCAAAAUAUAUUUGCAUCAAAUCGUUCUUCAUACGAUACAAAAAUAUAUUUAUUGUCCAUAAAUAUAUUUUCAGCACAAUAUAUAUUUGAAACAAAUCUUUUAUAUUUUUAGCAACAAUAUUCUCCAUCCAUCAAUUUUUGAGUCAUACUACAACACUUUGGAUGAGCUCGCUUUUCCCUCCACCUGAAGAAACUUAAGAUCGCUAGACGAGCAAAUUUUUCUAGGAAAAUAUGCACUUUUUUUACUUAUAUAUAAAUAGAUGUAAUACACAAUUCAGAGAUAUCUUACGCAUCUUAAACUUGUUGUUAGAGAGAACGGAGAGGAGAACAUAGAUUCAUCAUUGCAGAAUUUAUCAAUUCUUUUAUUUCAGGCUCUAGGUGCUUGUUUCAAACCAUAUAAGGCUUUGCUCAAUCUGAACACUCUAUCUUUCGUCCCUUUGAUUGUGAAACUAGGUGGUUGAGUGACAUACACAGUCUCUUCUAAUGUACCAUUCAGAAAUGCAAACUUUACUAGUUGCUAAUACUAUAACCAAUCUGAUAGUUUCAUGUCUUGCAUCUGGUGAGAAAACUUUAGUGUAAUCAAAACCUUCCUUCUAAAUAAACCUCUAGCCAAAAGCCUUGCUUCGUGAUUCACAAUCUUCCCUUCUUGAUUAAAUUUUAACUUGAAAACCAAUUUUAUAUCUAUUGCCUUUUUUCCAUCUCGAAGCUUUAUCAGUUCACAAGUCUGACUCUUCUCAAUAGAUUUUAGUUCACCUAUCAUAGCUUCCUUUAAUGCCUUAUCACAUAGUGCAGCUAUGUAAUCUAAUGGCUCGAUGUCUGCUAGCAUUGCAAAAUGCACCAAUUAACCAUCACUAGUUCAUCAUCACCAGUUACCUGACAGUCUUCUGAACUUCUUGGAAUUUGUCUGUUUCUUUGUGGUCUGGCUAUAGUGGUUGACUCUUCAUCUAUGAUUUCUUCAUCAUUAGCAACUUCAUUUAUGGUGAGCUCAUCAGAUUCUCUAUUAUCUUCAAUGAUAACCUCCUUCUCAGAGACACUGCACUUAUUUGCAGUACAAUCCCAAUAUUCAUCUAUUUAAGAUGAAUAUUGGGAUUACACUAAAGUUUUCAGGGAUAUGCUUAUAGCAUAUUGAGCCAAAUACCUUCAAAUGACUGACAUAUGGUUUUCUACCUGACCAAACCUCUUCAGGCACUUGAUUCUUCAAUUUCUUAGUGGGACAUCUAUUUAAGAUGUAAGCUGCAAUAUUCCCUACUUUACCCCAAAAUUCAUGAGGUAGCUUCUUCUCUAUCAGCAUAAUCCUAGCCAUAUCAAGUAAACUCUUAUUCCUCCUUUCAGCAAUACCAUUGCGUUGAGGAGUGUAAGGAGUUGUCACUUCAUGAACUAUACCCUGACUUGUGCAGUAAGAUUCAAAAUAUCUAGAAGUAUAUUCACCACCUCCAUCUGUUCUGAGAAUAUUCACCACCUUCAAAUCUUACAAAGAAUAUGAGAUGGUAGAAUUAUGAGAAUUUUCUCCAUGAUUGCUUUAUCAGAAAGAGUCUCACAACAUAGCUUCAUCUGAUUUGUGAUUGUUUGAAUUGAUUAGAAAUAUUCCUCUAUGUUCUUUUCUUUCUUCAUCUUCAGCAAUUCAUAUUGUCUUCUCAAUGAUUGCAAUCUUAUCUUCUUCACCUUAUCAUCCCCACUGAAGUAUUUCACAAGUGUAUCCCAAGCUUCCUUAAAGCUUUUUGCAUAUGCAAUCUUUUCAAAUACCUUGUUAUCCACGCAUUGAUGAAUAUAAAAGAGAGUCUUGAAAUCUUUCUUGUUCUUGGCUUCUUUAUGCGCAUUCCUUUGAAUUUAUGUGGGAUUUGCAGGAAGUGCUUCAACUUCAUUGUUGACAAUCUCAAGAACAUCUUGAAACCCAAAGAUCACCUUCAUCUGUUUCACCCAUCUUUGCCAAUUCUUCCCAUCAAGAACUGGUAAAUGUGCAGAGAUGUUUCCAUUGGAAUUCAUGGUUAACUCUCUUCUUCUUGGAUCAAAAAAUGAUUAUGCUCUGGAUACCAAUUUGUUGGUGAACAAAUUGAUCUAGGGUUUAUGUGUUUUGUGUGAUUGAAGGAUAAGAAACAGUUUUAGAGAAUGAAAAAGAGAGAAAGAGAUUGGAGAAUUAAAACUGAAUGCAUUGGCUUUAUUAAAUGAGGAACCAAGUAUAUAUACAACAUGUUCUAGCUAUAGCUUGCAUUACAAGUAAAUGCUAAUUGUCUAACUAACUUUCUAAAAACAAGGUAAAGUAGUUACUUAGGUAGCAAGGUAACUAACCCUAAAUCAAACUAUGAGUUUUGAAUUACAAAUUCAACACUCACAAGGGCAUGGUGGCGGAAACUCUAACCCUAGGAGAGCAAGAAAUUUCUUGAGAGGUUUUGAUUUUGUCUAAAAAAAUUUAUAUAAUCUCUUGGAUGUUGAACUCUAGGACGUUACAUAUCUUAUUUACCGAAACCAUUUGAUUAUGAUAUGUGCCAAAAAUAUUUAUAACCAAAUGCAAUAAAGUAAAUACAAAAUAUACAAUAAAUUACACUAGAAAAUAUUCAAUAAAUUACACUACAAGUUAAUAAUAAUGUUAAUUUGCAGACACUAAUAUACGUUUUGUUCCGUUCUGCUUAAUUUGCUCUAUCCAAGAAAAUAAUGAAGUUGAGAUAUAUUCAUAUGAGUGUCUGAUGUGUUGGUCUAUGGUUAUUUAGAUUUUAGACUAUUUUGCAAAGCAUAAGAAAUAAAUAAAAACAAACUAAAAGUCUGAUAUUAUAAAAAUCUGGUUUUUAAAAAAGGCUAAAAGUAUAUUAUUUUAUAAUUUUAUGUUUUAAAGUGUUGGUUGUAAAUACCAAAGUAAGAAAAAACUCAUAAACAUCACAUACAAACCCGCAUAUUUAAACCGCAUAACCUACGAUUAAGCAAUCCACCUUAUGUGAACCAAAACGAAAAUGGUGUGAAACAUAUUGGUCUUUAUCCACCUUGGGCCGCGAGUUAAACUAGUUGGUUUGCAGCCCCGGGCCAUAUUCACAACUCCUAUUUUUGUAUAGUUUUUAUUUGAAACAUUAGAAAAUUAAGCGUCAAACCAACAUAAUAUUGAGAGAGUUGGUAACAUGACUCUUCCUCAUAAAAAAAAAAAAAAUUGAAUUUCAUUCUUAAAAUCGUCUAUUUGAAAUUGAGCGAACUUAACCCGUUCAAAGAUCAUAUGUCUUCCUAUCAAGCUAGGAAGGUACCUUGAAAUGUUGUUAAUUAUAAUUAUGAUUAAGAUAUGCUAGAAGAAAAAAUUGAGGGCCAAGGGCAAACUGGCUCAUUUAAUAGAUAAAUAGACUUUAAAGCAAUUGGUAUACAAAUCCAAGUCACACCUCAGCAAGGAAGUUAAAGUCAGCCUUUAAUUGUUAGCAUUCACAUAUAUAGUAAAGACUUUUGGUUUAAAUUAGGCAAUUGUACCACAUCAAGAACAUUUAGAAGAUGCCAAAAAAUAAGACUAAAUAAUACAAAGGCUUUGAUGAUUCGAACUAUUUUGACUCUUUGUGUAGAUUUUAGGUAUGUUUGGUGGGUAACGUACAACAUUCAAUCAUUCCCAUCAAAUAAUUAAAUGAAUCUCACACUUAAUAUAAAUUUAAGAAUCAUAUCUUGUUCAUGAUCAUAUACAAUCUAUAGUGGUGUAUGCCUAUAAUAGUGUCAUGGUAGGUAUCAUAUUAGCUUUGUCGCUACUGAAGUAAAAUAAUUGUUUGACCUAAAAUAUUACCACUGUCGCUCUGUAAAAAAUAUAAUAUAGAAACAAUAUUCUUGUGAGGUGAGGAUUACCCCCACUUAUAAAUACAUUGUCAGGUCAUGUUCUAUCUGAUAUGGGACGCUUAACAUCUUAGAAAUCGUGGUUUGGGCCUAACACAACAUCACAAAACGGACUUGUGAGGUGAUGAUUGCCCCCACUUAUAAACAUAUUGUCAGACCAUAUCUUAUCCGAUGUGGGACUCUUACGUACACAAAAUUAGCAUAUUACAUAGGCUACAUAAUUUUUUAAUACAUGUAAAAUUAGCAUAUUGCAUACAUCUAGAACUAUGUUUACAUUUCAACAACGUUUAUUUAUUUUCUUACUGCAAGUGACGGAAACAGAAAAAAAAAAAAAAAAAAAAAGUUUAAGUAUAGGAUGCUCUAUUGCGGAUGGUCUUAGUCUUCCCAAGAAUCAUCAUAUUUUUUAUAAUAUCUCCACCAAGUAUGUCUUUAUAUACUUGUGUUAGUACAAUCAAUCAAUGUCGUAAUUUUUUUUUUUCUAACAGUCGACAUUGUCUAUCCAUUUAAAUAUUUUUUUUCAAUACCAAAAAAAAAAAUGAUCUUUCCUAAAAAAGACCUUAAAUUUUUUUUAGAGAAAAUAGCUUAUAGCUUUUCAUUAUUAAUCAAUGUCAAAAUACUAAGAGGUACAUCAUUAAAAACUUGGGAACUAGGUAAGAAUAAAGCCUCUCUAGCAAGAGUAUGAGCGACCUCAUUCGCUUGUCUCCAACUAAACUCCAUCUUAAAGUUUUCAGAAACAUUGUUGUUGCCUUUGGUAAAAUAAUCUACAACUAACUUCGCAUCCAUCUCAAAAUCUACAUUUGUAAGUUGUAGUUCGUGUACCCAUUGAAUUGCAUAGAGUAGACCUAAUACUUCCCCAAUCUCUGGCUUACAUAUGGGAUUAGACCACAUCAUCUUUGCCUUCCUGAAAUUACCAGCAGCAUCCCGUAUACACAGCCCAACACUACUAAAAAAAACAAAAAUUAGUGAGGGAUAUUUAGUGAGGGAAAAUAUGAAAUCCCUCUCUAAUUCCCUCACUAAAUUUUACGACCAAGGAAUUUGUGAGGAAUUUCAUUUUUUCCGUCACUAAUUUCCCUCACUAAUUUUGCUUUUUCUAGCAGUGCAAAACCAACACGAUUUGAAUCUUCCGAAAACGCCGCGUCGAUGUUGCAUUUUAGCUUACCAGCUGCACUACACUUCUGCUUCCUCAUAUUUCCUCAUAGUCUGGCAUGUAAACAAUGUGUUGCUUAAUAUAACAAUUUUCUAUAUAUGGCUGCCAGAUUUGCUCCCCUGGUGAUUAGACAGUAAACAAUAAAAAACGUUACACGCAAUUUCAUGGUUGGUUCAAUAUUUUGUUGUCCAGCUAAGUUAUAACAUAGUUUCAAAAAAGACAAUUUGUUAUUCAAAUUUGAAAAUGAUGCAAUGAUAAAGACAUUUUAUCACCUUAUCAUUAAAAAAACACGUGUAAUAAUCACUUAAACACAUGGACAAAUAAAAUCACGUAAGCAAUCUUGAUAUUAAUUAACGAAGGUUGACUCAGUUUAUAAGAAAUUGAUUCAUCUGUACGCCAUAGAUUCAACAUUUAUUGUCAAUGUAAAUAUCUUUUUUGUAAAUGAUAUGUAAAUACUUCUAUAAACAUUAUUUAAAUCUUGAAAUAUGCCUUAACUAUAAUGAAUUUUUGGAGGGUAACCUAUCAAAAUUUAUUUAUAUAAUAAAUAAAAGGUAAAUAUUUUGGCUAGGAAAAACCAAUGGUAGGAAAAAAAAUUACAUGUUGUGAUGUCAUGGAAGUCGAUGUAUGAGUAAACCUAGCUACUUGCUGGAAAUGAAAUAUGUUAAAGAUCUUACACACUGAAAGGAUCAAAUAUAUGUUCCUUUCGCACGAAUAGUUCUCUCUCUUUCUUUUUUCUUAAAUCAUAGCCGUCACAACUUUUAUUCUUUUUGGUGUACAAAAAGAAUUGAUUUAGGAUCAAUUACGAUCCAUAAUCACCCCUUUAAAUUGUUAUUCUUUCUCUUUUAGCAAAGUAAGUGAUUUUCACAUAAUUUUCUUUCCUUUGUUUUUGUGAUUUUGUCGUAUAACACGAUUUUGUUUAUUUUGAUUUCUCGUAUUUAUGCAGUGUUUUUAAUUGUUAGCUUUCACAUAUAGCAAAAACUUUUGAUUUAAGUUAGGCAAUUGUACUACAUCAAGAACAUUUAGAAGAUGCCAAAAAAUAAGACUACACUAUGCAAAGGCUCUGAUUGGAACUAUCUUGACUCUUUGUCUGGAUUUUAGGCAUGUUUGGUGGGUAACCUACACCAUUCAAUCAUUCCCAUCACAUGAUUAUUAAAUGAAUCCCACUUACUAAAAUUGAGAAUCAUAUUAGCUUUGUCGAUACUGAAGUGAAAUAAUUGUUUGACCUCAAAAAAUAACAUCCGUGUAUAAAAGGAUAACAGAGAAACAUUCAUACACAAAAUUAGCAUAUUACUUUCACUAAAAAAAUUUUAGGCUUAAUACAUGCUUUCGUCCCUUAACUUAUUUUUGAAUUUCAUUUUGGUCCCUUAACUUUAAACCGUCUCAAUUUGUUCUCAUAACUUUGCCUCCGUUUACAGAAGGGACCACUUAGGUAAACGGAGGCAAAGUUAUGGGACCAAAUUGAGACGGUUUAAAGUUAAGGGACCAAAAUGAAAUUAAAAAAUAAGUUAAGGGACCAAAGCAUGUAUUAAGCCUUAAAUAAAUUAUACUAAGAGGAUAUUUGUCAAAGAUACAUAUUUUUAUUGAAGAAAAAAAUAAUAUUACAAAGCAUGAAAAAAGCCCAAUAAAUAAAAUGGUUGAACAGUGUUGGGAAAAAUAUUGCAAGAUAAAAUAAUAAAUAUAUUACAACAUCAACAAAACUCGUAAAAUAGUGUGAGAAUAUAGGAAAUUUUUCCAUGACAAUAUAGGAGGUGAACAAAAUAAAUUAUGUUAAAAUUAAAUUAGAAAGUAAUGAAAACUUUGGUAAAAUAAAAAGUAAUAAAAACAAGCAAAUCUCUAAAAAAAAGUAAUAAAAACAAACAAAUCCCUAAAAAAAACAUAUAAAAUAUUUGGACUAUAAAAUUAAAGUAGAUAUGAAUUAUUUGUUGAGAUGUUUAUGUCAAAUAGAAAAAUGAGUUUUCUAAAAAUAAAACAUAAAUGUUAAUUUCAUUGGAACACCAACAAAAUAAAAAUUCAUAGGGAGGUAGUUCUAUUGCAUCAAAUAGAUCUAUUAUGAGAUAAAAAUAAAUGAACAUCAUAAUAUUAUUUUUAGUAAAUGUAAAUUAAUGUAUCACUCAUUUUUUAUAGAUUAGAAAAAUGAUUUUGACAUUCUAUAAUUUAGAGAUUAUUUUUUAAAGACUUUAUUAAAAAGUAUAAUCAAUUUUGUGUUUAUUUUUCAGAAUAACAAUCACUUCUUUGAAAAAAAAUAUAUGUUAAUUUGAUACAAGGCUUAAUAAAUGCUUUGGUCCCUUAUUUUUGAAUUUCAUUUUGGUCCCUUAACUUUAAACCGUCUCAAUUUGGUCCCAUAACUUUACCUCAGUUUACCUAAGUGGUCCAUUCUGUUAGUUUUUUUAACAGAAGGGACCACUUAGGUAAACGGAGGUAAAAUUAUGGGACCAAAUUGAGACAGUUUAAAGUUAAAGGACCAAAAUGAAAUUCAAAAAUAAGUUAAGGGACUAAAGCAUGUAUUAAGCCAAAAAUUUAUUACGUGUUCUGGAUCGAUCAAAAGAUCAAUCCCAUGUUGACACGUGACCUAAAUUUGCACUGCCUUAAAGCUCCGCGCUUGAAGGAGCAUGCCAAUUUUAGUACACCGCGUCACGUUCAAGCACGCCUCGGCGUGAGGUCACCUUACACGUGUUCUCUAACUGUCUCCUGAUCACAUGCUGCAAAACUCGAAGACAUCUCCACGAGUGCGUGUAUAAGGGUGACUUAACUUCACCCUCAAAGUAUGAUUCACUUUUCACAACACUUUCUACAUACUCUUUCAAAGGAAUAAAAAAAACAUUUGUUACAACUAUUUUUAUUUAAAGAAUCAUAGGUGCGGGAUGAAAUAUUAAAAAGUUAUAAUCACUUAAUAAAAUAGAAAUCGAUCCUCACUGAACCGACGUGGACCACGAUUGAUGACCAUAUAUAGUUGAUGAAACCCAGAGAUGGGGGGUGGUUGUCUCCGCCACUGAUAUAGUAACAAAAUAAAGGUUUAAUUGCACUUUUGGCCCCCUAUGUUUCAAGAAGUUGCGAUUUUGACCCCCUAACUAAUUAAAAUACAAAACAUCAUUGAGCUCAGCCACCUCCCAUCUCUGGGCUUCAUCAACUAUACAUGGUCAUCAAUCUUGAUCCACGUCGGUUCAGCGAGGAUCGAUUUCUAUUUUAUUAAGUGAUUAUAACUUUUUAAUAUUUCAUCCCGCACCUAUGAUUCUUUAAAUAAAAAUAGUUGUAACAAAUGUUUUUUUUAUUCCUAAAUUCAAACCUCUGAACUAACGUACACUAAUCUUUUCCCUCAUGAACAAAUAGUACAAUAAUCCUCAAGAAGAAGCUUCUUAGUCUUCCUAAGGCGUGUUGUAGAAAUUAAAUUAACAAUAAUAUUUUCACUCAAAGCUCGUCAUGUUUUUUAUAAUAUCUCCAUCAAGUAUGUAUUUAUAUACUUAUGUCAGUACAAUCAAAUUCGGUCCUCGUGAGCAUAGCUCAGUUGAUAUGGACAAUGCAUAAUAUAUGUAAGGUUUGAAGUUUAAAUUCCGACAACCACAAAAAAAAGAGUACAAUCAAACUCGAAUCUGACAUCUCAUAAUUGUGAUUGCGUGUAUGUAAAUUUAAAAGGUGGUGAUAUUUGUGAGAUCUUUAUUUUUCUUUCUUUUUAUUGGUUUAAAACAAUAAAGAAAAAAAUGAAGAGAAAGAAUAAGAAUAUAAUGCGAAUAUAAAAGAAAAUUGUUGAAAAAUUGUUACAAAAUAAAUGUUAAAAUAUCAUUUCUUAAAUCUAAAACGUUGCUCGUCACUUUUUCUACAUGUCAAAGUUGAAUCUUGUGAAGAAGUGAUUGUCCCAAAAAUAAUAUUUUAUUAGCAACAGUACUAGCAUCAAAUAUUUGUCAACAAAAAUAAAGUACUAGCAUCAAAUAAACUAACGUGCUACAUAUGAACAUAACCUCAAAUAUUGACUAGCUCCAUGCAUAUACUUUUCCCACGUUAAAAAAAAAGCCUAAUCAAAUUUCUAAUAACAAUUCUAAAAUUACUAUACACUCUUUCCAUAGACAUCAUUAUUGAUGAUUGUGGACAUGACCCCACAAUAUUAAUUUUGGUACAUGCAUAUAGCUCGAGAUACAUUUUUAAGAGAAAUAUAAUUUGUAUGAUAAUUUCACGACAAUUUUUAUGAUAAUUUUUUUUUUCUCACACUCAUGUUGUAUUUUUGUUCUCUCAUUUCAUAUUUCUUUGUCUAUUGCUUUUUUCCUAAAAAAAGAAAAAAAAUGAUUCUCCCAAAAAUACUUGUACAAAUAUCCACUCUUAGAAAAAGUAAAAUUAGGAAGAGAAAUUAGUGACGGAAAACAUUAAAUUUCUCACAAAUUCUUAAAUCGUAAAAUUUAGUGACGGAAUUAGUGAGGGAUUUCACGUUUUCCCUCUUAAAAUUUUCCUCACCGUUUUUUACUUUUAGUAGUGAUCAUUGAUAAAUUUUUAAUUCAUCUAUUGAGGAGGAACUAAAUAACCAUUUGUGUAAAUCUUUUCUUUUUUUAUAUCUAACAGGGUGAUUUAUAAGAAGAAGAGUCUGAACAUUUCGAUGAAGAAAAUCUAUAGAAAAGAAUUAAUUUAGUUAAAAGUGAGCCAACUUGGUUUUACUCCAAAAAAAUAUUCUUUAAAAUUUUUGCUCAUUCAAAAUCUAAAAUUGUUGUUUUCAAACGUAUAAUUUAGCAACUGAUUAUUAAGCAUUAGGAAAAAGCCCAUGCGACAGUAAAAAAUUGGACGCUAACAUGUCAAUUAGCGUCAACCUAGUGUGAGGCUCGUGGUUGACAAUAAAAUGCUUGAAGCUAACCAUUUGUGUCUGCAAUCCUGAAGCAAUUUGUAAGUAAUAUCGUAGACCAAUUUAAAUUUUUUAAGCUAAGCAUUAGCGUCUGCAAUAUCGAGGCUACAUCGCGUGCGCUUAGUGUAGGUCAAUUUAAAUUUUUAAAAUUCUGUAAAAGCAUUGACUAAAGGGGUUGGCCAACAAAAUAAAACAUAUUAGAAAUAAUUAACAAUCCAUUAAAGAUAGAAAAAAAAGUAAAAUAUAUAUACAAAGCAAAGCACAUAUUUGAGACAAGCAUCAAAUGUAAUAAAAAAAAUGCUACUAUGUUAUUUAUCCCAAAAAUAAAAUUAAAACAUCUUACAAUCAUGUGCAACAAACUUCUUUCUAUUGCAAUGGAGUCAACAUGUGUUAAACCAAAUAAACCAAAUAUUUAGAUGAUCUCCUAAAUAUUUUCUCUACAUCUAAGAAAAGAAUGUUCCAAAAUCUUGGCUAUAUUAAAGUUGAUAGGGUGGAAAUAUAAAUCUUGUUCAUUUUCGUUUUGGUUUUAAGCACAUCCUCUUUGUUUGAUUUCAACCUACUCAAACAAGCACAAUAAGCUUCAACAUUGUCAAUAAAGAAAGCACACACAAUUACAAAAUAUGUCAUAUAUUAGUCUACAAGAUAUGAUGAUUUUUUUUCGAUGUUGACCAAGCUAAUUACAUUUUAAUAAAAAUAAUUCUAUCAAUGAAAUUAUUAUGACAUCUCUCUUUAUCAACCUAAAAAAGUUUUUCAAAGCAAAGCAGAGGGAGUUCUUCCUACUCAUGUCGAUUAAUCAAGUCAAAAAGCUAAAAAAAAAAAAAAAAAACCAUUACUACAAUAAAGGAGAUUUCACCUCGGUUGAAAUGAAGUUUUCACAUUGCACCGUUCAUGAGGUAAGGUGGUGUGGUAUGUCUAACACUAUUUACAUCGGGCACAUCAGGUUGGUACCCAAUGUGAUAAGUACUUUUCACAUCGUUUUAUCACCGGAUGUGAAAUCCCUUUUAUAAAUUAGAACAUGUGAUUUACAUUUCACAUUAACUUUCACCUCAAGUGAUGUGAAAUCCAUUUUUCUAAAUGGUACAUUUUUAACCAACUUAAAAUGUCUAAUUUUUUAUAACAAAUAUAUAUUUUUAACCGACUUAAAAUAUAAAUUCAUGUGCUCUAUGAAACUGACACUCACUAAAUUGAAUUAAACAACUCCAACAUUGAUACGACAAUCAUCACUAGCAUUUAACUCCACAACCUCAAAUUUAUAGAUCAGAGGGCCUAUAAUACAUGGUAGUUACAAAUUAUCAACAAUUGGACGAGAUUAAAUAUAUACAAUAUUGUUUAAAAUAUAUGAAUUCAAAGUCAUAGUAGCAUAAAAAAUAAGAAGGGGUUAAAUUGGAAGGGUAUUGACUACAAAUUAACAAAUCAGAAAAUCAAUUUGAAAAGAGUAAGAAUACUAAUUUACUUAACACAAAAAAAUAGAUCCAAAGCAUAUUAUGAUGACUAUUGACUAUAAUCCCCAUUACAUAAGAAAUACCCAACAAAUAUCAAAAAGAGAGAUCUAACUUUCUAUCUCCAUUUUGAUUAUAAUGAGUUCACAAACAAAAUUCCCUAAGAAACAAUAGAGACCAUCAGAAAUCAUAAGCAAAAUGUUCUAAAAGAUAACAAACUCUAAAAGCUAAAGAAUAAAAACAUAAAAUUGCAACUAAUAGAGAAAAGAAACGAUUUAAUUCAUAAGAGAAGAGAACAAAGGAGUUGAAAAUAUAAAAUAAAGAUAUUGAUUCAAGAACAAAGACGAUUUUACCUCUGAACAACUUGAACAAAGCAACAAACAACGAAGGGCAAGAACAUAGACAAUUUUGGGUAUGAAAGGUUUGUAUCUGAGUGAAGCAGCGAAUGGUUUGCCUCUGAACGGUGAAACAACGAAGCUCUAAACAUGGAGGACGACUUGGCUCAUAAUGAGUCUAAUUUUUUUAUUUUUUCUGGAUCUGAGUUUUUUUUUCCCAGAACUUUAUGGCUUUGAAGGUUUUUUAAUGAAAGUGUGAAAAGAAAAUAUUGGGAAAAAAAAGGUGAGGGAAAUCUUAAAAUAAAAGUAGGAAAGAAAAGGGAAAUUGAAAAAUAAUGGAUAAUUUUUUUUUUAGCUUCACAGAUAAUCGAUGCUAUUUAAAAAUAAAAUAAAUAGUUUUAGAAUAUAUUGACGCUAAUUAAAUAAUUAAAUUAAAAUAUAAUGAAUUGAAGAAAGCGUUAGAAUUUGUGGAUGCUAAUUAGACGCUGUUAGCAUCAGAAAUUGUCUCACGCUAAAAUUUAUGAAGCUAGAUUGCAAUUUUUUUGUAAUAUGUGAAAGGGUACCAUAGAAGUUCCCUUUUUAUUAUCUUUGGUGGAAACUCCCAACAAAUUUGAAAUAAUGUUACCCGAGAGGGAUACAUAGAACCUGUAAAAAUUUGCUUUUGGACGCAUUCACCACAUGUCCCGAAGCCUCGGAAUAAGAGUCAAAUAUUCUCAUAAGGCAGCAUACAUUCUUAUUUGGUACGUUUACAAAAAAAAUUAGAAUAUCGUCUGUGCAUAUGUUGGCCAGCUUGCCGAGCAAGAGUAAUCGAACGACUAAGAACCUCUUUUGCCAAACAAAAAUAAAAGAGGGGAUAGAAGGUCCCCCUGACGAACACCCCGCCCGCACACAAGAGAAGAAGCCCAUCGCUUUACCAUUCACCAGAAUAAAAAGACGCGCAGAGUGCAAAAUAUAGAAGAAAACCUGCAGGAGAAAGCCAGGCUAAAACCAAACUGAUGGAGCACAGCUAGCAAGAAAUUCCAAUCUAAAGUAUCAAAUGCCUUUCUGAUAUCAAGCUUGAGCGCUAAAUUACCCCCAUAUUGAUUACGAUUCAGAAGGUUAAUAGCCUCAGAAGCUAUAGUAAUACAUUCUGAAAUGUAUCGAUCACGAAUAAAGCCACGCUACUCCAAUCAGAUUAGGUAGAAGCUCUCCAAGUCUCCCCUAUUAUAUAAAUCCUUAACCUACUUAUUUUCUCUUAUUUCCAAAUCUGCCCUCCAAGUCUCAAUAUUCUAUUCUAAUAUAUUUCUAUAACAUAUAAGAAAUAUAUCUCUAUAACAAAUAUAUUUCUAUAACACAUAUAUUUCUACACCAAAUAAGAAAUAUAUUUCUACACCAGAUAACAUAUAUAUUUCUACACCAAAUAACAAAUAUUUUACACCAGAUAACAUAUAUAUUUUUACACCAAAUAACAUAUAUAUUUCUACACACCAGAUAACAUAUAUAUUUCUAUACCAAAUAACAUAUAUAUUAUACUAAUAAAUACCAACAUAUAACAUAACAAAAUAUCACUCAUCAAAAUAAAUCGACUAAAUUAUAAAAAGACAUCUAAACUCAAUAAAAUAAAUAAAUAAUAAAAUAGGACGUUACAGGAUCUGGGUUUUAUUUUUUUCUUUUCAGAACUUUAUGCUUUUGAAGGGUUUUUAAUGAAAGUGUGAAAAGAAAAUAUUGGAAAAAAAAAAAGGUGAGGGAAAUCUUAAAAUAAAAGUGGGAAAGAAAAGGGAAAUUGAAAAAUAAUGGAUAAUUUUUUUUUUAGCUUCACAGAUAAUCGAUGCUAUUUAAAAAUAAAAUAAAUAGUUUUAGAAUAUAUUGACGCUAAUUAAAUAAUUAAAUUAAAAUAUAAUGAAUUGAAGAAAGCGUUAGAAUUUGUGGAUGCUAAUUAGACGCUGUUAGCAUCAGAAAUUGUCUCACGCUAAAAUUUCUGAAGCUAGAUUGCAAUUUUCUUGUAGUGAUAUGUGAAAGGGUAAUGGUAUUUUUAUUACCUUUGGUGUAAGCUAGAUAUCCUCCGCAUGCAAUUGGAAAAACUAAUUCCUCAAACCUUCUGAGAAUCAAAUGAACGGAAAACUCUCCAUUAAAGACAAUGAUAUUUGAACAAUCAUAUACCUUCAAUACAUUGAUAUGAUAUUGAGUAGCCCAUUUUAGCAAGUAAGUUGUAAUAUAAUUAUAAUAAUAGUAAUAGCAGAAGACAAAAAUAAUGAUUUUAAUUGUGAUAAAUUAGUUGCAUUAUGUGUUAGAAAUGAUAAAAUUGAUAAAAUACUAAUUCUUGAUAAUUUAUCAAUAUAAAAUUCUAAAUUUUUAUUUUAUCGUGCAAAACAAUAGACUAUUAAAAGGUUAGAUUAACUCUAAUAUUUAGAUUUCUUAAUUUAUUUAUUAGUGGAUAAAACAGAAAAAUGUUCUGAAAAUUAUUGAGGCAGCUGUGUGAGAAAACAUAUGAUACAUGUAUAAUUUUUCAAAGUUUGUUAAGGAGAAAGGACAGAUUAAUUUGAUCAAAUACCCAAUAAUUAAUUCAUCAAUGACUACGCGUAUAUUGAAUUUUACUUACUUUGAAAUAGCUUACAAAACAAAAAUAACAAAAUAAUUUUUUUGAAAGAGAUAUAAUAAAAUAAUUAUUGGUCCAUACUUACUAUAAAGAAAAUAAGAGCAGUGUCAACAUUUUCCAGCUAAUAUGCUCACUUACUUUAUUCCUUUCUUUACAUUUCUUUCAUGAAUAGCCAACUUGAUUCGAAUUGGUCCAAAAAACAUGCUCACUUAUUCAAAGGCAGGCCAUUAUUUUUUAAUGAAAUUAUAUGCUUGUAUUUUGAUAUAAACUUUUUUUAUAAACAUUCUGCUAAAGAAAACUAGGUAAAUUGUAAUAAGGACACCAACCAAGAUGAAUAGUUAAGGUAAAAUGUGUAAAGAAAAAACUAUAUAAAGGGUGAUGCUAUCUUUCAUAAUAGCAACAACAAAACACACUUUGGGAAAAUAUGGGGUCUCAAAUGGCCUCUAUUACUCUCACUAUUGCAUUGGCAAUAAUCUCUCUUAGCUUCCCAUCUCAAAUUUCAGCAAACAAUUACAUCUAUUCAUCUCCACCACCACCAAAGCCUUACUACUACCACUCUCCACCACCACCAGUGCACUCCCCACCUCCUCCUUACCAUUACAGUUCACCACCACCGCCACCAAAGAAGGAAUACAAAUACCCUUCUCCUCCACCACCAGUAUACAAGUACAAAUCACCUCCUCCACCGGUAUAUAAGUAUCAAUCUCCCCCACCACCAGUUUACAAGUACAAGUCACCUCCUCCCCCAGUUUACAAGUACAAAUCUCCACCCCCACCACCCAAGAAACCAUACAAGUAUUCAUCACCACCACCACCAGUUUACAAGUAUAAGUCUCCUCCUCCACCUGUUUACUCACCACCUCCACCAGUUUACAAGUAUAAAUCUCCUCCUCCACCAGUUUACUCACCACCUCCACCAUACAAGUAUUCAUCUCCACCACCUCCUCCGUACAAGUACUCAUCAC
rnacentral:lncRNA from 1 species